UGCCAACCAGUUUCUUUAAUGGUAGCACUUUUGAUCUGACGGCAACACCUAGUUCCUCUGUCAACAUUGUAGCGUUCAUCCUCUGCUCCGCAUAGAGUGGCCAAACCAUCAUCGGUACUCCAUUGGUGAUGCUCUCGAGGCUUGAGUUCCAUCCAUAGUGUGAUCAAAAUACUCUUAUUGAUGGAUGACUUAAAAUGUCCACUUGUGGCGCCCAAAGAGGCACAACCAACCCAACGUUACGGGUCCGGGUCAAGAAUUCUUUGGGCAAAUAGGUUGAUGGGUCAUCGUCUCGGUUUCCUUAAAUAAAGAUAUUAAAUUUAAGUGAAAGUAUCGAUUGUAACACAAUAUCAAUAAUUUAUCAAAUACUAUAAAUUAGUACAUUUACGCAGAUAAGAGUUUCUAUGAAGGUAACAAAUAAAAAUUGAUGAUAUAUAUUUGGUAAGUUUGAAAAUCACCUGAAGUGAAAAAAGCAGCAUCUAUGGAUUUAGCUGGUGGUAGUACAACCCAAAUGAAUCUUUGUUUACUCAACUCCAAACCCCAAGCCAUUUUUAUCAUCUGCUCCAAGGACACAGUCCCUCCACUCCCUAAUGACAUAAAUAUCACAGAUUCACAAGGUCGCUUGUCUAGCCAAUUAAACAAGCCCUCAUCCCUUAGACCGGUUGAGGUUGAAUCGGUUGUUUGGACCGGCUUCGUCAAUGGUCCAAUAGGAUAAACUGGCACCCUAGCCACUCUGCCCAAGAGUCCCUCAUCCCGUAACAUAUCUAUUGUUUUGUGCUCCAAGUCCUCCCAUGUGUUCAUCAAAAUCCCAUCACUCUUCGGGAAAUUAGUACAAACUCUUUACGUAUUCCAAAUACUAUUGGUCAGUCCGGUCCAGCAUCGGGUCAACCACGUCUUCGGGCUGAAUGGGCUUGCAACCCAGAAUUCUCAGCGGUUCAGUCUGGUCUACGUACUCUCAUUCCACUUCUUUAUCAAAAACUGGCACGUAGAUAGUCAAAGCUACGAACCAUGUUGUGCUAGCAAUGUAAACAUACUUGGGAAUCCCCAGCUCGUCGCCGAUUGACAGAGAUUCGGUGCUGAAAAGGUCCACAAUAAGCACUGUAGGAAGAAGAGAAUACUUCAUUCCAAGUAUGGCUGACCGAAACGCAGGUCGUACUUCACACAUCAUGACUGCAAGGAGGGUAGCGACAGCAACGUCGGGGCCAAUACAGCCGGAAAUGUCUGGCGGUGGGAGUUCAAUAAUGUCAAAAAGUUUGGGGGUGGCGGCUGCCUUGAGGAGCUCAGACUCAGUCUUGGAAGCAGGAGAUGGGAUGGCAAAAAUCGUCACGGUGAAAUUCCGGUGGGUGAGAAGUCGUUUUGCGAGUUCGAGGACGGGGAUGAGGUGGCCGAGGCCUGGGCUGCAAAGUAUGGCAGCAUGUGGCUGUGAGCUCGUGGUAGACGAAGGGCAAUGGCUUUAGCCAUUAGUGCACCGGUUGAGCUUUAAAAAGGAAAACAAGCAAAUCAAAAUAAUCUUUGGACAAGUUUACUUUUAGAUUAAUACCUUAAUUAAGAUUAAAAAUUAAAUUAAAUUCCUUAACCUCAUGUCCAUAUCAGCAUGCAUAUUCCAACUCGUACUUUAUUUUUAUUUUUGUUUUAGGAUUUUGUUUUGGGAUUUAGAUCCUCUCCUGAGCUAAUGGAGAUGAUCCUUCUGACCAGGCUAUAAUUAUUAUAACUUUAAAGAGGAUCCAAAUCUUAAAAAAGAAAAAAAAUUAAUUAAUUAGAAAACUAUGUUUUAUUUCAAAUAGGAUUUUUAACAAAUUCUAUCAUGCCACAUGUCAUUAUCUAAAAUUAUAAUUUUUCUGAAUAGAUUUUUUAUUAUAUUUUUAACAAAUCCCCGUGGUGCCACGUGUUAUGAUUCUGGAAGAAUUUUAUAGAUAGGUUUUCAAUAAGAAUUUCAACUAAUCUCAUCACGUCAUGUGUCACUAUCCAAGAAUAUCAAGGGAUAACUUUUUUUUAUUUUUUCAAUUUUUAAGUCGAAAAAAUCUGGACCAUUGAUGAUAUAGCCAUUACAUAAUCGAACGGCCCACGAUACACCCCAUGUACUUGUCAUUAAGAAUGAGUUCAAAAUUUUAAAGCUAUUGGAAAUUUAACGGCACCUAAAUUUAGUCGUUGGAAAUUCAACGUACAACAAUUGCCCACGUUGCCCCUAAUUCGGAUGGGUUGAGUGCACCUGCAGAGCAACUUUUUGUUCGGGUCAUUCUUGCUGACUCUUGUGUGAAAGUCCCCACGCUUGACGCAAAAAAAAUAUUAAUGUGGCUGACAUCAAAUGGACUCAGGUGCAUACCCGCGACUUCUAUGUAACUAGAUAAUAGAGAAACUAAUAGAAACUAAGACUGUUUUACGAAAUUAAAAUGAAAUAGUAAGUAAAUAUAAGAGGUUGAAAUGUUUAAUAUGUUGUAUGAAGUUGUAAUUCAACACAAACUUCAAAAUGCAAAAUGUAAAUUACCCUAAGUUUUUAAUAUCUAACCAAGAAAGAAAAGAAUUGGGUCGCAAUAAAAUCGUGGUUAGCUAUCCUUCAUAGUUUGGGUUUUUGAUGUUUAAAGUUGUUCAGAAGGCGCUUUAGUAGUCAAUUUCGAAGCCCUCAGAAACCAUUGGUCUGUUUUAAUAGGGAAAGUAUGAAUAAAGGUCAUAUUUUAUUUCCAAUUUUAAUGUAGCCACUAGUACAGAAAACACUUUGUGCAACUUAGGUCUUUCGUUGCGCAAAGUAAAAAAACGUCGUGCAAAAAUUAGCCCAACGAACCUUCAUCGCACGCCAACGGUCGCGCCAAGGCAAUGACAACAUGACACACCCCGACCCAGAGUAUCCACUAGGAUUCCGACUCGAGUCGUGCUAGCCGACACCUGGAAGAUGACGAAGCCAUAAAGUGUGAUAACGUGGAAAAAGUGAAUAAAUUUAAACCUAAGAGUGCCUAAAUACCAGAGUAUGCUAGUGAACGGGAACGAACCCACUUCACACGUGACGUUAAAGCAUAAGUAAGUACAGUAGAGUGGAUAAGGAUUUUACCCUCAGAAGUAGCCACCUAUCCUGAGAUUUGCCAAUAAUCCUCGUCGAUACGAACAUUCAACAAUUAAAACCUGGAAGGCUGCCAAACAGAAUAUUUGAGUGGGUAAAAACAAAACGUUUGAAACCAUAAUUAUCUUUAUAGUAAUCCUCUUUGCAAAACUGUAUAAUUUCUGAGAAUUCACUAUGUAUAAGUAUGAUAUCAAAUGUACGCUAACAUUAAAUCCAGAAGUAUACCAUAACACAGCAGCUCAACAGAAAUAUAAAUAAUUGUCUGCUUAAUAAUCCAUACUAGUACGCAAGUCGGAGUCACCUAUGGUGACCUGUACAACUGCACCCAUAUCUCAUCAAUCAAUGCUAGAACAUAAGUCGGAGUCACUUAUAGUGACCUGUACGACUUAUCCAUAUGUCAUCAAUCAAUUCUAGCUCAUAACGGAGUCACCUAUAGUGACCUGUACGACUUAUCCAUAUCUUAUCAGUCAAUGAUAGCUCAUAAGUCGGAGUCAUUUAUAGUGACCUGUACGACUUAUCCAUAGCUCAUCACAUAUCCCUGCACACGAGUCGGAACCACCUAUAGUAGUCUCUACGACAAGACUAGGUGUAAAUAAGUACGCUCAAGUGCUACGAUCAUGUGAAGAGUGUGUGAAUAAAUGCGGGUUACCUACGAGUCGGAACCACCUAUAGUGGUCUGUAUGACAGGACUGUGCACCUACCUUGGAUCCAAGGUGAGCAUAAAGUGCGGGAGGUGAACAUCACGUGAAGGACUGUGCCCUGGCCAUGAGCGGGAGCACUAACACCGAGGUGCAGGUUUAUGAGCUCUAAAUGAAUCUAUUGUAACAUAUAUGACUCAUGGGUAACCUGUACGAUAGUGUCGGAGUUGCCUAAAACUUACAUGUAGUCAUACCAUAACUCCAUCAUUUCUACUAAUACCAUAAACUCACAUGAACUUACCUGGGUGUCCUGCGUUCACCUUUGCACUUCAAAGCAUUCAUAAUAAUUAUGUGCAUGUAAUAUUGUUGACCCUAAAAACUACUAAGCCUACGUGGCCUUCGGUGAAUGCGGGGCGUGCCAACUCGUCGGUCGAGCUCGGCCAAGGAGUAAAUUUGUUGAUGUUGCGUUGGGUGCGCUGCUGACUUCCGAAUCUCGCGACUACGGCCGAGGAAGGAACACUCUUGGCCUUCGGGUUCUAGAGCUUGAAGACAAGGCUGCUAGUUCUGCAAAGUUCAAUAUCAAAUUCGGCUUUCAAUAUGCCGAAUGUAAUAACUUGUAACACCUCACUUCGCCAAGAAGGCUAAUGAGAUGACCUCGACCAAUAAGGAUUCAGAAAUCCUUCUCGACCGAGACUUGGAUAGAUAACCAACCGUCCUCGCCGUAGUGUUGUUGAUGCCAACGAAAGAUGCUACGAGAUCGGCUGAUUAUACGGCGACAGAGCUAUCUAUGCCAACUGAAGAUAUCAUCGGUUGCUUUCACAGUGCUGUUGAUGUCAACAGAAGAUGUGUCAGCGAAAAGAGAAAAUAAAAAUCUCAAGUUGUUGAGAGAGUUUGCGCAGGGCAGUUGUGUGUUGAAUUGGAAGUCCUUAAAUGUUGCACGGCAUCUUGUAUUUAUAGGGAUGAGUUAGCAGUUCUAUAUGUGCUUCGCGCGUACCAUCCGUAGCUGGCCACAACUUGAACCCCCUGAAGAUAAGCAUUCCAUACAAAUAAAAACUCUUGAUAGCCAUCCCAACGUCAAUUAGCCGUUUAACAAUGACCCAUCAUCAUUGGCUAUUGGCCAUUGGAUUUGACGAAACCAAGUCAAUUUGCAUAGACAUGAAACUCUUCCUAUAGCAUCAUGAGAAACCAUGCAAUAUUAGUACCCAUAUUCAUGUCUAGGUGCAUUAGCCCAUGCUGUGCUUCCACCUGAAGGAUAUGCUAAUUAUUAGCAUAUAUUUCUAUGCUAACAAUUAUCCUAAAUCAGAAUAUGCCGCACCAUUAUCUCAGAUAGCACCACUAAUCAAAAGGUAACCUUCAUGCAUGGUUAACCGACUCCAAGCAUACGUCUAAAUGCCGAGAAUCCCAAAUCAAAUCAAACUACAUAGCUCGCUUUCAAGUUGGAGAUAUAAUUUGCAUCCUAUUUAUCCCGUAUGAGAGAAUUUCAAGAUAAUUCAUAUUAAAAGAUAAUUAUUAUGAUAAAACCAUAAUAUUAUCCUUUAAUAAUAAUAAUAAAAUUAUCUUCACUUUUCCAUCCAAUGGUUGGAAGCUAUGCUCACUCAACAGCCUUGACUACACGGACCGAUGGUGUAAAUUCGGGUCCAAACAAAUAUACAUAUAGAUAAACCAUGAUGCAAUCUGAUACUCAACCAUGUUAUAGCAUUUCCAUUUACACACACACACACACACACACACACACACACAUAUAUAUAUAUAUAUAUAUAUAUAUAUAUAUAUAUAUAUAUAUAUAUAUAUAUAUAUAUAUAUAUAUAUAUAUAUAUAUAUAUAUCUCACAUUUUCUACCAAUGUCCCUCACAUUGCUUAAUUCCCUAAACAAGGCUAUUGUCUCAAUUAUUUAGUCUCAUUUAUUGUAUGGUUGCAUCUAACGUCUCGUUAGACUGCCUACGUACCCUAAACAGGGAUUAAGCCAUUCGUAGUUCACAUUAGUACUUCAAAGCAUUCACAGUAAUUAUAUGCAAUAAUCAAUUUAUAACCGUUUGUGGAAUUAUCAAUCAUAUAUAUAUACCAUAUAAAGGAAAAGACCCACUUACUUGAGGUCCACGCUAAGACUCCCUAGCACGCAUACCGAGACAUCACGAACCAUCGUCGCCUAUGACCAAUUAUCAAAUCACAUCUCAGAGUUCAUACCGAUAAAAUACACAAUUUACAUAAAACAAACCCUACGUAAUUCAAUUCGGAAGAUAACAGAUUUCCGAUCCGUUGCUUCCAAAGAUCCACAUUAUACUUCUAGAACAACAUUCUAAAGUCCCAUUACGAUCCAACGGUCGGAUCUCUGCCAAUUGUCAAAACCAAGUGGCAAUUAACCUUUUAUUUUAUGAACUUACAAAUCCAAUUCGGGAAGAUCCGUAUAUCGGAUUCCUGACCCGUAAGUUCCUAUGGUCCUCAAAUAUUACGUACUAUAACGUAUUAAAGUUUGGUGACGAUCCGACGGUUGGAUCGUCGAUUCAUACAAUGACCUAUUAACGUAACGUAGAGAAUUUAGAUUCCAACGAUCAACCUACAUCAUACAACUACCAAAAAUGAACUCGAGACAUCUAAUUAGCCUAAGAUUAACAUCAACGGCCCCGGCCACGCGCCGCCGUGGGUAGUGGUCGGCCGUCCCGAACCGCCGAAAAAUCCAACUAUUUCCAAAAAUUACUAAAAUUUACAGAAUUGUAGGUCUCAAUGAGUGAAGCAACUUUCAUACGUGUGACCAAGGCCAAUUAGGCUGAGAAACACCUCAAUUUUACAUAAAUCCGUUGGAAACCUUAAAUAGGGGCUACUUCGAUUCGACCUCCAUGCUCACUCCGACGCCUCCACAAGUGUUUGGGCUUUGUUCCUGAGGUUGAGGGGAGUCUAUUGGUGGUGGUAAUUGGAGGAGGUAGCUUCAAAUCAUGGCAGAAUAGAACCCAACCAGUGCGCCCCUUCUUGUACGGUUUUACCCAAAAUUCACCAAAUUUCCACCCAAUUUUCACAUGAAAAUGGAAAAGGGAUCGGUUGGCCUUGUGGUAAGGGUCAUUUUGACACUAACCUUGUCGUCCAAGGUGGCGAGAGAUGGGAGAAUCCACCGGGUUGGGUCACGAGUUAAGGGAAACUCGAUUUCCCCUUUUUCUUUUCUCCUUCAUUUCCCCUCCUUUCCUUCCUCUGGUUGGUCACCUUCACUCUCUCUCUUCCUUCCCUUGGCCGAAGCUCUCUCUCCCUUCCUCUUUGAUUGGGCAGCCAAUACCCCUUCUUCUUUUUCCCCUUCUCCCCCUGUUUCUUCUUCUCUUUCCCUCAAUUUUUACCAAAGGUAAUCUUAAAAUAAUGUAAUGGUACUUAAGAAAAUAUAUAAAAUAAUAAAUGGUAAUAUCAAUACCCCAAUCCGCUUUUGCUUACGCCUACACAGCCAUAUUGUCGAGUACUACAGAAAUACGCUAAAGGAAUAUUUCAUACGUCUCACUAUACGUUGGUCAACGAAAGUCAAUACCCUCGCCUCUCAGGGCAUUUUCGUAAAUUCACACGUUUAAAAUUUAUAAAAUCAUAGAACUAGGGACGGGUUGUCACACAACAUGGUUUGCACGACGAAGAAGUAACCUAUGUCACUCAAAGUAGUUUUGCACAACGUAGGUUACUUCUUUGUCGCACUAACCCUUUUUUUUGGUAAAAAUAUUUUUUAUUUAAUUUUUAAUAAAUAUUAUAAUUAAAUUCUAAACAAUAAUUAAUAAACCAAGAAAAUUUAUUUAAUUAUAAAAUAUAUAAAAAUGUAUAUACAAGAUGUCCGAACAAAAAAGAAAAAACUACAACAAGUAGUCUUCUAGGUUUGAUGCUUAAUGUUUUCUUCUAUUAUAAAUUCUCUCCAUGUAAGAUUAAUUGGUUAAGCUAAAUUAUCAAUUAAAAUGUACUUUUAUUGAUAAUUUCAGGGAUGUAACACGAUCAUCGGCAUGCCAUGCAUGAGUUAAUUCAGCUUUAAGCUCAUGCAACCGAGAAACAUAUUCCUGGCCCAUGAUGACCUUGCCCCCCUCUUCUGCAAAUUUUUCUAGAUCUUCCAGUUCCUCCAAAUGCAAGCUUGUCGAAGGUUUCUCAUGUGCUGUAAAUUCAUAUCAGUAAAACAAACCAAAGUGACUAUCAUAAUUGCUCAGUUGGGCAACAAAAAUACUUCUGAAAUGAAUACUUGUUCCAAAAAAUUGUAGGAACAAAGCAAAGGAGGCUGACAAAUUUUUCCUACCUUUUGUCAUGUCUAGGGAUGGGCAAAGGUUAUGGUAGAUGGGUAACCGUGGUUAUUUACCCAUAACCAUUUAUGUUCAUACCCGUAUAACCGUUUACCCAUUGGGUAAUACAUAAACAGUUAUACCCAUACCCAUAACCGUUUAUAAACGGUUAACCAUAUCCAUAACCGUAUACCCAUUUAACCAUAACCAUUUACCCGUUUUUGAACCCGUUUAUCCUUUUUUUUUUUACCCAUUUGCCCCUUUUUCACCCGUCUACAUGUUUUCUUUUAACAACUAGAAAAUUAUAAAAGAAAAGUUUGUCAUAAUUUUCGUUAUACCCAUGGUAUGUGCUUACCAAUACAUCGUUAUAACGGGUAUCAAUUUAAAGCAGUUUGUACAAAACCUAGCUAGUUCUGGAAUCACAAAUGCUCGGCUUUCUCCACCAUCUCAUGCUAUUUCAGAUGAUGGUAUGCAUCUGUCCUAAACUCUCUUUCGAACCUUGUCAUUAGUCCAGACCAGAUUUUGUUUUUUAAGUUUUUGUGUAAUAUGACAAUUCUUGUACUGAGGCUUCACCUCAUAGCUUUCCUUUCUACGGAUACAUGCCGAGAAGGCUCUAUGAUCUCAAUACAAAAUAUAUAAACAAAGAUGAAUUAAAGUCACUGGUAAGCACAUACCGCGGCAAUGGAAUACAAUCUGUGGCAGAUAUAGUACCCGUUAUAACCGUUAUAUAUUGAAAAUUACAAUAUAUAAACAAAGAAGACUUUCGUUACAAAAGUAAAAAACAAAAAUAAAGAUUAGUUUUUCAUAUAUUAAAUUAAAUCGGUAAAUGGAUACCCGUUAUAACCGCGGGUAAUACUCAUAACCGCCCAUUUAAAUUUCAUGGAUAAACAGUUAUACCCAUAACCGUAACCGUGAACUUUAAAUUGGUGUAACCGCGGUUACCCAAACCCAUGGGUAUUUUGCCUAUCUCUAGUCAUGUCGGACAUCUGUAAGUGAUAAGAAAAAGGAAAAUAAAAAGUUAGAAGAUAGGUUACAGCUUUCAGUGAGAAACUUAAGGAAGUAAAUAGCUGGAUGAGAAUAGAAGGUAUGGAAAACCAAAAUUUCCUAGAUAGAUAAUAGAGAAACUAAUAGAAAUUGAGAUAGCUGUACGAAAUUGAAAUGAAAUAGUAAGUAAAAGUAUGAGGUUGAAAUAUUAUAAAGGGAGUAAUGCUAGGAAGACUAAAUUUGCAGAUAAAAUUUACAAGCCAAAUUAUGUGUCACCAAUAAGAAAUAAAUAUGUUAAUCAAAACUUAAAUAAUAGUCAAAUUAUCAACAACCACAUCAUAUAAUUUACAAAAUUUGUUUUCAAAUUUAGUUUACCUAGCAUUACCCUUUUAAAAAUGUUGUAUAAGGUUGCAAUUAAUCACAAACUUAAAGAUGCAAAAUGUAAUUUACCCUAACUUUUGAUAUCUAAGUUCUAACGAAGAAAGAAAAGAAUUGGAUCGUAAUCAAAUCGUGAACUGUCCACGGUUUGGGCUUUUGAUGUCUAAAGUUGUUCACGUGGUGCUUCAAUACUCAAUUUCCAAGCCCUCAGACACCACUGGUCUGUUUUAAUAGGGAAAGUAUGAAUAAAGGUCAUAAUCAAUUUCAUCUUUUUAGUGAAGCCCAGCAAAGAUCGAUGUAAAACAAAGAAAUUUUCAAGCUUACCUAAUACCUAUUUAACAAUCCGCAAAACCGAUUUUAAUAUGUUCUUUUGCAUUAGUGUGUAUAUCAAAUUCAAACCAAUAAAGCCAAAACAAACUGAUAGCUACCCUUAAUUAAGAUUUUGUUUGAAAUUUUGUUGUAACAUUACCUUAAGAUUACCCAUUAGUUAUGCAACUAUUAGCUGAUUAUGUCUUUCUAGCAUGUUUAUUGAUAUGAUAUUUACGUAAUUAGGCUUGGCUACGGAGGCUUAUAUUAAAUCCUUUCGUUUAGGACUUAAACCUAUUUAUUGGAGAUGGUCUUACGUCUAUUUGCCAAGCUACCUGCUUCUCGUGAAUUUAACAUGAUUGUUAAAAAAAAUUGGCACUUAGUACUACAGUCUGGUGGUAUUCCUCUUCACUUAGAAGUGAGAGGUCUUAGGUUCGAAUCUCAUGAAUAGAGAAUUCGAUACUAAAUUAGGAUGCCCAUUGUUUAGCUUAACUGAACUCUCCCUUCUUUUAGUGAAAAAAAUAUCAAUGUACUAAAAAAAAAAUUGACUGAACCGAGUUAUGCAGACUUAAAAAAAAUAAAAAAUUGACUGACACAAGUUAUGCAGCAUGAAUAUUCAUCCAUGUAUGAUAACAAAAUAGAUACUUCUUUUUAAAGGGAAAUAUAUAUAUAUAUAUAUAUAUAUAUAUAUAUAUAUAUGUGUGUGUGUGUGUGUGUGUGUGUGUGUGUGUGUGUGUGUGUCUAUAUAAACUUUAAUAUUCAUAACUUCUUCAAUACUCAACGAAAUCAAGUGAUUCAAAAAUGAAAAUCAUACUUCUCGAUGAGACGAAGAGAAUGAUCCUUUUUUGUUGACAGUUAACUAAAGUUAUGAAUGUUUAAAGUUUACCUAGUUUCAGGCGAGUUUUUCAAUUUUCCUUCGGACCAAACAACUUUGCAGCUAUUUUCUGACCAUCUCCCGCAACCAUUGGGCUUCCAAAUAGGUGUAAUCUUAUUCUACACUUUCCUGUCUUCAUUUUGAUAUAUUAUGGGUCGAAUUUGGUUAAGAAACGAUUGAGUUACGAAGCUUUGAAAAUUGCCCAAACUUCCGGCCAAGAGCUCUGGGACACUUAACGGAGUUUUUAACGGAAUGACCAAAAUGAUGGAUGGUGGAAAAUCUCAGGGUCAUUUAUAUUGAUUUGAAAUCUCAGGAAUCAAAAUGAAGAGUUAUGCAAAUCUCAGGAACCAUUUUCGCGAGUUAGCCAUAUAUAUAUAUGUGUGUGUGUGUGUGUGUGUGUGUGACCAGACCAAUUGGUGUGAUUGAGAACAAAAAGAGAACAAAAUUUAUUCUGCACAUGUAAUUUGCCCAAUAGUAGAGAAUACACACCAUUUUGCCAUAUAUCUUAUUGAUGUUUAUACAUCAUCAUACAAUAUUCAAACAGAUUUUUAACUAAAAUGGUUGCUAAGAUUGACCUAAAUCCUCAAUUUGGUCACUAAUAAAGUUUGUUCAUUUUUAUUGUUAAGGACUAAACUGAGAAGUUAAGACAAUUCUCAAGAUUAUUUAGGUUAAAAUGCCUAUUGAAAACAACAAGCAUAUUUGAGAGCCUUCACAUUCUCCAACUCUCCUAGCAUUUUCUUUCAUUGCCACUUGAUAUUUGAGACAGUGCAUUAUAUGACGAACCACCUACGCUCCAUGCUUUGGCAGCACUUAAUUUAAGCCCCUUAACCCUACCUCUUAUGGCCUGACCAUCUUUGUCCACCAUGAUCUUUCUCACCAUUUCCUUUAUCUCUUCCCUGCCAACCAUUUUCUUCGAUGGUAGCACUUUUGAUCUGACGGCAACACCAAGUUCCUCAGUCAACAUUGUAGCGUUCAUCCUCUGCUCCGCAUAGAGUGGCCAAACCAUCAUCGGUACUCCAUUGGUCAUGCUCUCGAGGCUUGAGUUCCAUCCACAAUGUGACCAAAAUCCUCCUAUUGAUGGAUGACUUAAAAUGUCCACUUGAGACACCCAAAGAGGCACAACCAACCCAACGUCAUGAGUCCGGGUCAAGAAUCCUUUGGGCAAAUAGGUUGAUGGGUCAUCGUCUUGAUUUCCUUAAAUAAAAUUACUAAAUGUAAAUGAAGGUAUCGAUUGUAACACAAUAUCAAUAAUUUAUCAAAUACUACAAAUUAGUACAUUACAUAUAUAAGAAUUUCUAUGAAGAUAACAAUUAAAAUUUGAUGAUAUAUAUUAGGUAAGUUUGAAAAUUACCUGAAGUGAAAAAAGCAGCAUCUGCGGAUCUAGCCGGUGGUCGUACAACCCAAAUGAAUCUUUGUUGACUCAAUUCCAAACCCCAAGCCAUUUCUGUCAUCUGCUCCAAGGACACAGUCCCUCCACUCCCUAAUGACACAAAUAUCACAGAUUCACAAGGUUGCUUGUCUAGCCAAUUAAACAAGCCUUCAUCCCUUAUACCGGUUGAGGUUGAACCGGCUGAUUGGACCUGCCUCGUCAAUGGUCCAAUGGGAUAAACUGGCACCUUAACCACUCUGCCCAAGAGUCCCUCAUCCCGUAACGCAUCUAUUGUUUUGUGCUCCAAGUCUUCCCAUGUGUUCAUCAAAAUCCCAUCACUCUUCGGGAAAUUAGUAUCUAUCCUUACAUAUUCCAAAUAUUGUUGGUCAAUCCGGUCCAGCAUCGGGUCAACCACGUCUUCGGGCUGAACGGGCUUGCAACCCGGAAUUCUCAGCGGUUCAGUCUGGUCCACAUACUCUCCUUCCACUUCUUUAUCAAAAACUGGCACGUAGACAGUCAAGGCUACGAACCAUGCAGUGCUAGCAAUGUAAACGUACUUAGGAAUCCCCAGCUCGUCGCCAAUGGACAGAGAUUCGGUGCUGAAGAGGUCAACGAUAAGCACUGUAGGACGAAGAGAAGACUCCAUUCCAAGUAUGGCUGACCGAAACGCAGGUCGUGCUUCACGCAUCAUGACAGCAAGGAGGGUAGUGACAGCAGCAUCGGGGCCAACACAGCCGGAAAUGUCGGGCGGUGGGAGUUCAAUAAUGUCAAAAAAUUUAGGGGUGGCGGCUGCCUUGAGGAGCUCAGACUCAGUCUUGGAAGUAGGAGAUGGGAUGGCGAAGAUCGUCACGGUGAAAUUCCGGUGGGUGACAAGUCGUUUUGCGAGUUCGAAGGCGGGGAUAAGGUGGCCGAGGCCUGGGCUGCAAAGUAUGGCAGCAUGUGGCUGUGAACUCAUGGUAGACGGAGAGCGAUGGCUUUAGCCCUUAGUGCACCAGUUGGGGUUUUUUUUUUUUUUUUGAACAAUUGCGCAUGGCAGUUUGUGUGUUGAACUGGAGUCCCUUAAUGUUGCACAGCCUUCAUGUAUUUAUAACGUUGGAUAUCUACCUGGCACAACCUGAUGGUGCUUGUAGAGUCCAAUUGCAAUUCUUUUCCACGGAACAAAAACUAAUCCACAUCAAAGAACUACCAUAUCCUUCAAAUAGAUGUUCACGAUUUUCCAAACUUCACAAAAGCCUAUCCAAAUAAAAGUCUUAUCACCAUAGCCUAGCCUAUCUAGGCUUGUCAUCGUUAUCCAAGACUAUUAAAUCUUAGACUUAUCACAUCACCAUAAAAAACCAAGCCUAUCUAGACUUCUCCAUAAUCCAUCCAUGCAUGCACCAUGACUUUUCAAACCUCAUCUACCAAGUUUCUCCAAUCUAAUAGCAAUAAUCCCAAGUUCACUCGAAUUGUACUUGUUCGUAGAUAUAAUGCUAAGAUAAUCCAAAUUACAAAAUAAUUACUAUGACAAAAACCAUAAUAUUAUCCUUUAACAAAAAUAUCUUCACUUUUCUAUCCGACGAUUGAAAAAUAUGCUUACUCAACGGCCUUGAUUACACAGGCCGAUGGUGUAAAUUUGGGUCCAAACAAAUGCAUUUUAUAAUUAACUCAUUUUCCCAAUACAAAUCUCAUAAAGAAAAUGAAACAUAAAAUCAAAAGUUUGUAUUUCUUUAAUGGCCUAUUUGCUUCACUUUAACUAGCAUAUGGGCACACGCACAAUUUUUUAUUUUUGUUUUUGAAAUAGAAGAAGAGAGGAAGAGAGGAAGAGAGUGAUAGAGAAUGUGGGAGUGAGAAUUUUUUUUUUUUUUUAAUUAGAGAUGUUAGGAUUACAUGUAGGUGAUGUUUUGAAAAAAAACAACAAAAUUUGGUUUUGUGAAAUUUCAUUUUUGCCUCAUAUUUCUUAUUCAUAUUUUGUUUUAAUUAAAGUGUUAAACUGAUAAUUUCAUAGGAUUUUGGUUGACAAUGAAUGUUUUAUUAAUUAGUAAAGAUGAUCUAGGUUGCAAUCACCAAUAAUUUAAAAGAAAAUAUAAAUUUGCCCUCUCACAUAGAGCUAAGUGCAGUAUAGCGACAGCGACGGUAACACACUUGAAUUUCAUUUAAACAUUUUGUCAAAUACCUUCGGUGCAAAUUUUAAGGGACAAAUUCUUAAUGUUUCAUGAAUCUUUUUUACGACCGAAAGGACGACCGCCCCUCUUGCUCUAUAUGGCCACCGCUCAAAGAUGACAGAUAUUAACUGGCAAGGAAAGCCAAGUCUCGUGGCAAUUUUUAUCUUUAUUUGAAGAGGUGACAAAUACUUUUCUGUAGGGGAGCUUUCUGGGUGUCGUUGAUUGCGUAUUAUUUCAAGAGGCGUAUUCAUAUGAAAUGCUACUGAAGGAUCGGCAUCAGUGAUAGGUACAAUCAUAUUUAUCUCUUUCAUUCCUCUUAAAAUAUCUUUCUAUGAUAUGUUACCGAGAAAUAAAACUAUGACAAUCAGAUCAAUAAUUUUCUUCUGGUUAAUUUAAUUUCAUAUUUUCUUUUAAUUUCUUACAUAUGAGUAAAUAUGAGAAAUGUUGGAAUGAAAUUGAAUCCAUAAUCUUAUUGAUGUUUGUACAUCAUCAUACAAUAUUCAAACAGAUUUUUAACUAAAAUGGUUGUUGAGAUUGACCUAACUCCUCAAUUUGGUCACUAAUAAAGUUUGUUCAUUUUUAUUGUUAAGGACUAAACUGAGAAGUUAAGACAAUUCUCAAGAUCAUUUAGGUUAAAAUUCCUAUUGAAAACAACAAGCAUAUUUGAGAGCCUUCACAUUCUCCAACUCUCCUAGCAUUUUCUUUCAUUGCCACUUGAUAUUUGAGACAGUGCAUUAUAUGACGAACCACCUACACUCCAUGCUUUUGCAGCACUUAAUUUAAGCCCAUUAACCCUACCUCUUAUUGCCUGACCAUCUUUGUCCACCAUGAUCUUUCUCACCAUUUCCUUUAUCUCUUCUCUGCCAACCACUUUCUUCGAUGGUAGCACUUUUGAUCUGACAGCAACACCAAGCUCCUCAGUCAACAGUGUAGCGUUCAUCCUCUGCUCCCCAUAGAGUGGCCAAACCAUCAUCGGUACCCCAUUGGUGAUGCUCUCGAGGCUUGAGUUCCAUCCACAGUGCGACCAAAAUCCUCCUAUUGAUGGAUUACUUAAAAUGUCCACUUGAGACACCCAAAGAGGCACAACCAACCCAACGUCAUGAGUCCGGGUCAAGAAUCCUUUGGGCAAAUAGGUUGAUGGGUCAUCGUCUUGAUUUCCUUAAAUAAAGUUACUAAAUGUAAGUGAAGGUAUCGAUUGUAACACAAUAUCAAUAAUUUAUCAAAUACUACAAAUUAGUACAUUACAUAUAUAAGAAUUUCUAUGAAGAUAACAAUUAAAAAUUGAUGAUAUAUAUUAGGUAAGUUUGAAAAUUACCUGAAGUGAAAAAAUCAGCAUCUGCGGAUCUAGCCGGUGGUCGUACAACCCAAAUGAAUCUUUGUUGACUCAAUUCCAAACCCCAAGCCAUUUCUGUCAUCUGCUCCAAGGACACAGUCCCUCCACUCCCUAAUGACACAAAUAUCACAAAUUCACAAGGUUGCUUGUCUAGCCAAUUAAACAAGCCCUCAUCCCUUAUACUGGUUGAGGUUGAACCGGCUGAUUGGACCUGCCUCGUCAAUGGUCCAAUGGGAUAAACUGGCACCUUAGCCACUCUGCCCAAGAGUCCCUCAUCCCGUAACGCAUCUAUUGUUUUGUGCUCCAAGUCUUCCCAUCUGUUCAUCAAAAUCCCAUCACUCUUCGAGAAAUUAGUUCCUAUCCUUACAUAUUCCAAAUAUUGUUGGUCAAUCUGGUCCAGCAUCGGGUCAACCACGUCUUCAGGCUGAACGGGCUUGCAACCCGGAAUUCUCAGUGGUUCAGUCUAGUCCACGUACUCUCCUUCCACUUCUUUAUCAAAAACUGGCAUGUAGACAGUCAAGGCUAUGAACCAUGCAGUGCUAGCAAUGUAAACGUACUUAGGAAUCCCAAGCUCGUCGUCGAUAGACAGAGAUUCGGUGCUGAAGAGGUCCACGAUAAGCACUAUAGGACGAAAAGAAAACUCUAUUCCAAGUAUGGCUGACAGAAACGCAUGUCGUGCUUCACGCAUCAUGACUGCAAGGAGGGUAGCGACAGCAGCAUCGGGGCCAACACAGCCGGAAAUGUCGGGCGGUGGGAGUUCAAUAAUGUCAAAAAAUUUGGGGGUGGCGGCUGCCUUGAGAAGCUCAGACUCAGUCUUGGAAGUAGGAGAUGGGAUGGCGAAGAUCGUCACGGUGAAAUUCCGGUGGGUGACAAGUCGUUUGCGAGUUCGAAGGCGAGAAUAAGGUGGCCGAGGCCUGGGCUGCAAAGUAUGGCAGCAUGUGGCUGUGAGCUCAUGGUAGAAGGAGAGUGAUGGCUUUAGCCCUUAGUGCACCGGUUGGGGUUUUUUUUUUUUUUUUUUGAACAAAAGUGCACCGGUUGAGCUUUAAAUAGGGACAACGAGCGAAUCAAAAUAAUCUUUGCUCUAAAAUCGUUGGACAAGAUUACUUUUAGAUUAAUACCUUAACUAAGAUUAAAAAUUAAAUUAAAUUCCUUAACCUCAUGUCCAUAUCAGCAUGCAUAUUCCACCCCGUACUUUAUUUUUAUUUUCGUUUUAGGAUUUUUAUUUUUGUAAUGUUGUUGACCUUAAAAACUACCAAGCCUAUGUGGCGCGCAGGUCGAGUAACUAAUUAGCUAACUACGUCUUUUGGUUGUAUGCGGGUGUGCCAACUCGUCGACCAAGCUCGACCGAGGAGUAAAAUUUGUUGAUGUUGCGUUGGGUGCGCUGCUGACUUCUGAAUCUCGCGACUGUGGCCGAGAAAUGAACACUCUCGGCCUUCGGGUUCUAGAGCCUGAAGACAAAGCUGCUAGUUCUACGAAGUUCAAUAUCAAAUUCGGCUUUCAAUGUGUCGAAUGUAAUAACUUGUAACACCUCACUUCGCCGAAAAGGCUAAUGAGAUGACCUCUGCCAAUAAGGAUUCAAAAAUUCUUCUCGACCGAGACUUGGAUAGAUAACCAGUCGACCUUGACGCAGUGCUGUUUAUCCAAACUGAAUGUGCUCCAUGGUCGGCUGAUUCUAAGGCAACAGUACUGUUUAUCCAAACUGAAGAUGUUCACCGGUUCCCUUCACAGUGUUGUUUAUCCAAACUAAAAUGUGUUGGCGAAAAAGAAAAUAAAAAAUCUCAAGAUGUUUGGAGGUUUUGCGUAGAGCGAGGGUUUGCGCAUGGCAGUUUGUGUGUUGAACUGGAGUCCCUCAACGUUGCACAGCCUUCAUGUAUUUAUAGCGUUGGAUAUCUACCUGGCACAACCUGAUGGUGCUUGUAGAGUCCAACUGCAAUUCUUUUCCACGGAACAAAAACUAAUCCACAUCAAAGAACUACCAUAUCCUUCAGAUAGAUGUUCACGAUUUUCCAAACUUCACAAAAGCCUAUCCAAAUAAAAGUCUUAUCACCAUAGCCUAGCCUAUCUAGGCUUGUCAUCGUUAUCCAAGACUAUUAAAUCUUAGACUUAUCACAUCACCAUAAAAAACCAAGCCUAUCUAGACUUCUCCAUAAUCCAUCCAUGCAUGCACCAUGACUUUUCAAACCUCAUCUACCAAGUUUCUCCAAUCUAAUAGCAAUAAUCCCAAGUUCACUCGAAUUGUACUUGUUCGUAGAUAUAAUGCUAAGAUAAUCCAAAUUACAAAAUAAUUACUAUGACAAAAACCAUAAUAUUAUCCUUUAACAAAAAUAUCUUCACUUUUCUAUCCGACGAUUGAAAAAUAUGCUUACUCAACGGCCUUGAUUACACAGGCCGAUGGUGUAAAUUUGGGUCCAAACAAAUGCAUUUUAUAAUUAACUCAUUUUCCCAAUACAAAUCUCAUAAAGAAAAUGAAACAUAAAAUCAAAAGUUUGUAUUUCUUUAAUGGCCUAUUUGCUUCACUUUAACUAGCAUAUGGGCACACGCACAAUUUUUUAUUUUUGUUUUUGAAAUAGAAGAAGAGAGGAAGAGAGGAAGAGAGUGAUAGAGAAUGUGGGAGUGAGAAUUUUUUUUUUUUUUUUAAUUAGAGAUGUUAGGAUUACAUGUAGGUGAUGUUUUGAAAAAAAACAACAAAAUUUGGUUUUGUGAAAUUUCAUUUUUGCCUCAUAUUUCUUAUUCAUAUUUUGUUUUAAUUAAAGUGUUAAACUGAUAAUUUCAUAGGAUUUUGGUUGACAAUGAAUGUUUUAUUAAUUAGUAAAGAUGAUCUAGGUUGCAAUCACCAAUAAUUUAAAAGAAAAUAUAAAUUUGCCCUCUCACAUAGAGCUAAGUGCAGUAUAGCGACAGCGACGGUAACACACUUGAAUUUCAUUUAAACAUUUUGUCAAAUACCUUCGGUGCAAAUUUUAAGGGACAAAUUCUUAAUGUUUCAUGAAUCUUUUUUACGACCGAAAGGACGACCGCCCCUCUUGCUCUAUAUGGCCACCGCUCAAAGAUGACAGAUAUUAACUGGCAAGGAAAGCCAAGUCUCGUGGCAAUUUUUAUCUUUAUUUGAAGAGGUGACAAAUACUUUUCUGUAGGGGAGCUUUCUGGGUGUCGUUAAUUGCGUAUUAUUUCAAGAGGCGUAUUCAUAUGAAAUGCUACUGAAGGAUCGGCAUCAGUGAUAGGUACAAUCAUAUUUAUCUCUUUCAUUCCUCUUAAAAUAUCUUUCUAUGAUAUGUUACCGAGAAAUAAAACUAUGACAAUCAGAUCAAUAAUUUUCUUCUGGUUAAUUUAAUUUCAUAUUUUCUUUUAAUUUCUUACAUAUGAGUAAAUAUGAGAAAUGUUGGAAUGAAAUUGAAUCCAUAAUCUUCUUCUCUUAAUUAAUUCUCUUUCCUGCUCAAGUCGGCUGUCACCACCCCCUCCCAGACAAGAGACUCCGCACCAACCUUUAAUUUUGAUAGAACUUAUUAACGAAGAAACUUGAGGUUUCAUCAUAAAAUCAAAGAAAAAUUAAUGAAAAUGACUUGAAAACUUUAAGUUUUAACGAUAAGAACAAAAUAAAGGGUAAAGUGAAUAGUACCAUGAUUGAUUUUUUAGUGUAAAAAUAUAAUUUUUCGUUAAAAUGAACAGUACCGGGAGUUUUUUGUUAAAAUUCCCUAAACUCAAUUGACAAUAUGAAGAGUAGUUCAAUCUCUUAUAAGCCCUUACAGGUUUCUCCUUUCAUUAAUGUGAGACUCUUUUAUCUUCACAUUCUCACAUGCUUUCUCAUUUGUGACGAAUUUUCAAGACAAACACGUGGACAACACGAAUUGGAUGACAUGAAGUAGACCUGUAAACAGGUCGGAUUUAUUGGGUUUGGGUCGGGUUUAACCCGACCCGUUAAGUUAACGGGUCAUCCGAACCCAACCCGUUAAGCUAACGGGUCACCCGAACCCGACCCGUUAACAAUUAUUUUUAUUUUUAUUUUUUGCAUAAAGUUUAUUUUUUGUCAUUAAGAUUUUACUAAAAUUACUAAAAUAUCCUCAACUAACGGGUGCUAACGGGUGUUAACGAGUCCUAACGGGUAUAACGGGUUGACCCAAAGUGACCCGUUAUUUAACGGGUUGUUAACGGGUUCACCCAUUAACGACCCGACCCGUUAAGUAUCCACCCAAAUACAAAUAUUAACGGGUUGGGUCGGAUCGAGUUAACGGGUUGGGUCCAAAAUGCCAGGCCUAACAUGAAGCACGUGCUGUUGGGUCAACCUACUCUGUUACCAUGAAGAAAACUGAGAUUCUACCAUAAAACUAAUUGGCAAUAUAGGGAGUAUCUCAAUCUCUUAUAAACCCUUACAAGAUUUAGUGAGAUUUUUUUACCUUGACAUUUUUACAAUUAAUAAUAAUUCAUAACUAGAAACCAACUACGCAAACAAAUAUCAUGGAAUUAGUGUACGAAGCUUUUACGCCAAUCAGUCAAAACAUGUGUGCAUGAUUCACGGUUUAAGGUACGUCAUAAUACAAUAUUGAUGUACUGAUAUACACAUAAUUAUAAUUAUUAGUUUAUAAUAUUAAAACAUAAGGCCUUAGAGCAACUCUACUGCAGUAAUUGCUCAGGCAAUUGGACAAAAGCAAUUAUUACUUUAGUAAAUAACCGGCCGAGUGUAUCUCUAUAUUGUAAGUGAAUUAUUAGGACAAUCGGUAUUAAAAAGUUAUUAAAAAAAAGCUAUUUUUUUAAUUAAUUAAAAAAAAUUAUGUUUUAUUUCAAAUAGGAUUUUUAACAAAUUAUGUCAUGCCACAUGUCAUUAUCCAAAUUUACAAUUUUUUCUGAAUAGAAUUUUUAUUAUAUUUUUAAGAAAUCCCCAUAGUGUUGCGUGUUAUGAUUCUGCAAGAAUUUUGUAGAUAUGUUUUCAAUAAGAAUUUUAACUAAUCUUGCCGCGCUAUGUGUCACUAUCCAAGAAUAUAAAUAGAUUAAUUUUCUUUAUUUUUUCAAUUUUUAAGUUGAAAAAAUAUGGACCAUUGAUGAUAUAGCCAUUACAUAAUCAAACGGCCCAUGAUACGCUCCAUGUACUUGUCAUUAAGAAUGAGUUCAAUAUUUUAAAACUGUUAGAAAUUUAACGGCACAUAAAUUUAGUCGUUGAAAAUUCAAUGUACAACAAUUGCCCACGUUGAGUGCACCUGCAGUGCGACUUUUUGGUCGGCUCACUCUUGACUCGUGUGCGAAAGUCCACAUGCCUGACACAAAAAAAAAAAAAAAUAUUAAUGUGGCUGAUGUCAAAUGGACUCAGGUGCAUACCUGCGACUUCUACAUAAUAACAGAGAAACUAAUAGAAACUAAGAUUGUUUUACGAAAUUAAAAUGAAAUAAUUAGUAAAUAUAGGAGGUUGAAAUAUUUAAAAUGUUGUAUGAAGUUGUAAUUGAGCACAAACUUCAAAAUGCAAAAUGUAAAUUACCCUAAGUUUUAAUAUCUAACCAAGAAAGAAAAGAAUUGGGUCGCAAUAAAAUCGUGGUUAACUAUCCUUCAUAGUUUGGGCUUUGGGCUUUUGAUGUAUAAAGUUGUUCAGAAGGUGCUUCUGUAGUCAAUUUUGAAGCCCUCAGAAACCAAUGGUCUGUUUUAAUAGGGAAAAUAUGAAUAAAGGUUAUAUUUUAAUAGGAGUUUCAACGAAACAUUCUUAGUACUGUUCACUUUAAUGAAAAAUGACAUUUUUACUCUAAAAAGUCACUCCUGGUACUAUUCGUUUACAACACGUUUUUGUCAUUUACAACUCAAAGUUUUCAAAUUUUUUUCAUUAGUUUUCCUUAUUUUAAUUUCCUCUUUUAGUGUAGCUCGUCAAAGCUCGAUGUGAGACAAAGAAAUUUUCAAGCUUACCUAAUACCUAUUUAACAAUCCGCAAAACCGGUUUUAAUAUCUUCUUUUGCAUAAGUGUGUAUAUCAAAUUCAAACCAAUCAAGCCAAAACAAAUUGAUAGCUUACCCUUAAUUAAGAUUUUGUUGGGAAUUUUGUGUUGUAACAUUACCUAGAAGUGAUGCAACUAUUAGCCGGGUAUGUCUUUCUAGCAUGUUUAUUGGUAGGAUAUUCACGUAAUUAGGCUUGGCUAGGGAGGCUGAAAUCCUAUCGUUCAGGACCUAGACCUGUCCAUUGGAGAUGGUCUUAGGUCUAUACGCCGAGCUACCUGCUUCUCAUUCAUUUGAUAUGAGUAGGAUAUGACAUAAUUAAGAACAAACAUGAGUGUUAAAGAAAACUUCAAUGAAUCAAGUUAUGCAGUACGAAUAUUAAUCCAUGUAUGAUAACAGAAUUGAUACCUCUCCUAAAAGGGGGACAUAUAUGUGUGUUUGACCAGAUCUAUUUGUAUGAUUGAGAACAAAAGAACAAAAUUCAUUUUACACAUGUUUGUGAGAUGCUAGUUUGCAUAAAAGUAAGAGAAUACACACCAUUCAACCAUAUAUUAUUGACGCUUAAACUUCACCAUACAAUAUUGAAAAAGGCUUUUUAAGUAAAAUGAUUGCUGAGAUCGACCUAACUCAUCAGUUUGAUCACUAUAACAUUUAUCGACUUUUAUGUCAUGGACUAAACUGAGGAGUUAAGUCAAAUCUCAUAGAUAAUUUUGGUUAAAACGCAUAUUGAAAAUAAGAAGCAUAUUUGAGAGCCUUCAUUUUCCGCAACUCCCUUAGCAUUUUAUUUGAUUGCCACUUGAUAUUUGAGACAGUGCAUUAUAUGAUGAACAACCUACGCUCAAUCCUUUGGCAGCGUUUAAUUUAAGCUCUUUAACCCUACCUCUUAUUGCCUGACCAUUUUUGUCCACCAUGAUCUUUCUCAUCAUUUCCUCUAUCUCUUCUCUCCCAACCACAGUCUUCAAUGGUAGCACUUUUGAUCUGACACAACACCAAGUUCCCCUGUCAAAAUUUUAGCCUUCAUCCUCUGCUCUGCAUGGAGUGGCCAAACGAUCAUCGGCACUUCAUUGGUGAUGCUCUCGAGGCUUGAGUUCCGUUCACAAUAUGAUCAAAAUCCUCCUAUUGAUGGAUGACUUAAAAUGUCUACUUGAGGGGCCCAAAGAGGCAUAACCAACCCAACGUCACGGAUCCGGGUCAAAAAUCCUUUUGGUAAAUAGGUUGAUGGGUCAUCAUCUCCAUUUCCUUAAAUAAAGGUACUAAAUGUAAAUAAAAAUAUCAAAUAUAACACAAUAUCGAUAAUGCUAAAAUAUUGUAAAUCAGUACAUUACACUAAUAAGAUUUUUUUCUCUAAAGAUAACAAUUAAAAUUUAGUGAUAUAUAUUAGGUAAGUUUGAGAAUUACCUAAAGUGUAAAAAAACAGCAUCUGCGGAUUUAGAUGGUGGUCGUACAACCCAAAUGAAUCUUUGUUGACUCAACUCCAACCCCCAAGCCAUUUCUAUCAUCUGCUCAAAGGACAUGGUCCCCCCACUCAGUGGCGAAGCUACAUAAGGGUAAGGAAUGACGUCCGCUCCUCCACUCGUCGUAAAUUAAGACCAAGAGCGGUGAUUCCGCCCCCCUGGUCCCAUUGGAAGUGAUGAUGUACGUUUGUGUUUUCUGGGUUCAUUGCUGUUGUGCAGCUUUGCUGCACGCAAGUUCCUGUUUUUUUUUUUUUUUUUUUUUUGUGUAAAAACUAGGCCAAAAAAACGUCGUUUAGGUACUGGUAAAAAAUUAAAAAACUCCCUUCAGUGGGAUGACAUCGUUUGGGUUAUUGAGUUAAAAAAAUAAUAAUAAUUAAAGGAGACCACUCGUCCCUCAUUGCCUUCACUAUCCCAGACCCCUUACCUUCCGACUUUCAAACCAACUGGAGAGUAGUAGCUCCCUAAAUCCCAGCCGCAACAUCCUGUUAGCCUUCCUUGCUUCAAAAGUUCAAGCUGACCUCCCUGCUGCCAACUUCCAAGCGUCAUCCUUUGGUUUGGUUGGCAACUUCUCUCCAAAUUUUUAGAUGAAAUCUUUCAUUUUCAAAUUUAUAUUAUCCCUAACCCUAAUUCAUUAUUUAAUACAACAUGUUGUUUAAUUUAUAUAGAAUCAUAGAGUAAUUGAUCAACAUUGUUAAUGACUAUAUAUUAUGAUUAUUGAUAAGAAAUUCUAUAAUUAUUGAUGGAUGAAAUUGUUAUUUAGGGUAAAAAUUGAAUUUUUGAUUAUAGAUUAAUUGAUUAUUGAUAUUGAUUAAUUGAAUUUUUGUUUGUUGAAUAAUUUAUAUGAUUAUUGGUAUUGAUUGGUUUAAUUAGUUAUUUGUCAUAUACUCAUAUGGUAUAUUCUACUCUAAGAUUAAGAAUCUAAGAUUUUUUUCUUCUUCUCAUUAUACAAUUAAUUAAUAUAAAGAUACUAUAAAGAGCCUAUUAUGCAAAGUUUUCAUGGUAUGAAACGUUGUCGGCAACUAUUAUAAUGUGUUUGUAUUCAUAAACCAUGGAAGAUAUUACUAUAAAAGGAUUUGAUUGUUGUGAUUUUUUUGAAUCUUGCACCCUUUAAGUUCCCCCCCUCACCCCCGACAAAUCCUGGCUUCGCCACUGCCCCCACUCUCCCUAAUGCCACAAAUAUCACAUAUUCACAGGGUUGCUUGUCUAGCCAUUUAAACAAGCCCUCCUCCCUUGGACCGGCAACCGGCCAAUUGGACCGGCCUCGUCAAUGGUCCAAUAGGAUAAACUGGCACCUUAGCCACUCUACCCAAGAGUGCCUCGUCCCGUAAUGCGUGUAAUGUUUUGUGCUCCAAGUCCUCCCAUGUAUUCAUCAAAAUCCCAUCACUCUUCAGCAAAUUAUAGUACCUAUCCUUACGUAUACCAAAUAUUGGUGGUCACUCCGGUCCAGCAUCGGGUUAAGCACGUCGUCGUGCUGAACCGGCUUGCAACCCGGAAUUCUCAGCGGUUCAGUCUGGUCCGCGUACUCUCCAUCCACUUGUUUUAUCAAGAACUGGCACGUAGACAGUCAAGGCUACGAGCAAUGCACUGCUAGCAAUGUAAGACGAAGAGAAGAUUCCAUUCCAAGUAUGGCUGACCGAAACGCAGGUCGUACUUCACGCAUCAUGACUGCAAGGAGUGCAAAGGCCGUAGCUUCAGGGCCAACACAGCCGGAAAUGUCGGGCGGUGGGAGGUCAACAAUGUCACAAAACUUGGGGGUGGUGGCUGCCUCGAGGAGCUCAGACUCAACCUUGGAAGUAGGAGAUGGGAUGGCGAAGAUCGUCACGGUGAAGUUUCGGUGGAUGACAAGUCUUUUUGCGAGCUCGAGGACGGGGAUGAGGUGGCCCAGGCCUGGGCUGCAAAGUAUGGCUGCAUGUGGCUUUGAGCUCAUGGUAGACGGAUAGCAAUGGCUUUAGCCUUUAGUGCACUGCUUGAGCUUAAAUAGGGAAACGAAGUUCACUUGCACCUUGUAAAUCAAAACAAUCAUUGUUAUUUUAUUUUAUUUUAUUCGUAAAAAUAAAUCAUUUGUUAUUUUAUUUUGAUGUUUUAUACAAGUGACUAGGGGAGGAUUCACUCAGGAUCCGGGUUCUCCCGAAGAAGCACAUGUGAAGAACUUGACCACCCAACCAUUUGGGUAGAUGGUUAAAGAGAGAAGACUAUCAAGACUGUACAAAUGUCGUGCAACAAAAGUUUUAGACCAAGAAGAAAUAUUUAAUUUCAUACAAUGAGAACACAUAAAAGACCAUCAUGACUCUGAUGUUCUUAAACCUUGGUUGCAACAAAGAAAAAAAACUUUCUCGCUCCAUUUCCCACUGAUCAACUCCUCAUUUUUCUUUUCUUUUUUUAUUUGUUGUCUAAUCAGGUUGGGACACCUAAUAUUAAAUUAGUAAAGAGACAGUGUAUGCUCAACCAAUACUUUUUAUACCAUAUGUUUGACACAAAUUUUUUUUUUAAAUUCACCAUAAAUUCAUACAACCUACGAAAAAUAUUUUGCAAAGUACUAGGAACUCGUAAUCAUUUGAACUUCAUCUAAUACCAUCAAAUUCACUAAAAUAUUAAGCAAAAAUUGUGAUAUUUUUUGUACAUUAUAUGUUAAAUAAUAAACCCAAAUUUUCAAUACAAGUAUAGUUGUUUUUUUAAGAGUAAAUAGACACUUAUUUAUAUGAUAUAUGUAACACCCUGCCCCCGAAAUAUUUUUUUUCGGGAAUAAUUUCGUUGGUCGGCCCAAUUUUAAAUCGUGGUUAAUUUAUUACCAUUAAUCACAUUUCUUUACUUCAAUAAUUCAUUUUCUUACAAAACUAUCCACAUUUUUAAAUAUCAAAACAUACAAUUGCAUUACCAAUUUAAUUCACUAACAUUAAUCACUAUUCUUUAUAUAAAUUCCUUCAUUCCACAUAUGAUUCAUAACCAUUAUUCUCUUAUCAACAUACAAUUACAUUUUCCAUGAAUUUCCAUUUUCUUCUCUUAGAUCAAAUUUCCAACUAAAAAUUUAUUCUCGAUUAUUUAACCUUACUUGUUUUAUGGCUGCAUCUAACUCCUCGUUAGAGUGAUCGGUUAGAAUUCUAUUAGAGUUGGCAAGCAACAGGAAUGGAUUCUUGCUGUGUGGCUUUGAAAAACACCCAUUUGAGAAGACCAAGUGGUUUAUGCUAAGGUUGGAAAAAAAAUCCCAAACCAUACCAAAAAAAUCCCGAUCCCAAACCAAAAUUUUUGAAAUUUUCGGUAUAUCAUCCCGAACCAAACCGAAAUUUUCGGUAUGGGAUUCGGUUUUGCAUCUCCAUAUUUUCGGUAUUCCCAUGCCGAACCAAAAAUAAAUAUUAUAUAUAUAAUAUUUUUUAAUUAUAAGAAAAUUAUUUCAACUGUUCAUUGUUUUGGAUUUAAUCUGUACCGUUCAUUUGUUUUUAGGUCCAAUCUCCCAUUUCACUUCUGAUCCAUUGAUUCGAUCGAACUUGAAGCGCAGCCUUCCUCACCGAGCCCUCAUCUCAUCUCUGUGUCGAAUUCCGGCCAGCCACCGGCCCACCACCACACCAUACUAUCUCCUCUGACUCUCCAACCUUCCUUCACCACACAGCCACCGCCACGCCACCGCUCUCUCUCUCGCGAUCUCUCUCUCUCGGGUGAUUUGCUCUCACAUCACAUAACUCUCGAUCCAGCACCAGCAUCAAAUAGUGCAGCUACAGGUAAUGCUACCCAUUCUUUUUGUUACUUGACCACUAAGAAAUUUUAUGAGAAUCGGAUUUCCAUAUUUUUGUUUUGGCUAUAGAAUCUUAGAUACAUGAUCUUGUUUUAAUGUUUGAUGGCAAAUCAAGUUUUGUAAUUCUGUUUUCUUUGCAGUUCUAUAUUUAUUUUUUGGGCUGAGGUUACUUUACAUUGCUUGGAGAUCAUCAGAUUCUAAAUCUUCCCAGAAGAAAGAAAUUGAAGAAGUAAGUUUAUUAUAUGUUUUCACUUUUUAGCCUUUAUUUGAUUUGUAUUUAUUUAUGAUCUCUAGAUAGAUGGAUGGUAAACUAACAAUGCUUGGUGCCUGUACUACCCAGUUUAUGGAUCAUAAUAAUCAACUUUAGUUCGGAUAAAGCAAUAUUUAAAAUUUUUGAAGACUUGCUUUGAUGCUUUUGAAUGAACAUGUGAAUGAGGGAGGUCUUCAAAACCUCCGAAAACAACCUCAUCUGUAUAGUGAUAAAGAUUGCAAAACAACUUUACCUUAACUGUGCAACUGAUAAAGUAAGAUGAUGACAUUGAGUUAACUGGUGUCAUAUGUUUAAAACUUUCCAGGCUCAUUGGUUUUCCCUUGAGUUAGCCAUGAAAGUACUAGGCAUUUACGAGAAGUGGGGAUAAUCUCAGAAUUCAGAGUUGUUCUGAAUUGACUGCCUGCAUUAUUCCUGAUGUCUGAUCACUUUUUAUAUCCUUUUGUCUUCAUCGCGUUUAUGAGCUUACAACAUGAAUUUUGUCCCUUUGCCAGUCUAUUUUGUUAUUUUUGCUGUCUAAAUUUGUUUCCAUGGUGUUGUAACUUGUAACUAAAAGGUUCAGAUACUGCAAAAGUGUGAUUUCUUAUUAUCGAUGUGAUCAAGAUUUAAGUUGUUCUGUGUGUCAAUUAGGUACUUUCCACUGGACUUGGUAGGAUUGUGUCAAACUUGAUAUCACGGAAGCAUACGAAUAGUGCAGCUACAUUAGCUACCAAUUCUUUUUGUUACUUGACCACUAAGAAAUUUUAUGAGAAUUGGAUUUCCAUAUAUUUGUUUUGGCUAUAGAAUCUUAGAUACAUGGUCUUGCUUUAAUGUUUGAUAGCAAAUCAAGUUUUGUGGUUCUGUUUUUGUUUCUCAUACCAUAUGACUCUCUAAUUGUAAACUACUGGAUGGCUACAUAUGUGUACAUGUGAAAUGUAUACUUUCACAACAGUAAACACAAAAGAAAGUAAGCAAGGAAGUGUUAGACUAUGAUGAACUGUCAUUCUGUAGGAUUUAUUAUAGACACCAUUAGUAGAAUCAUAGAUCAGAUUAUUGAGGUAUCACAUUUUAUGCUGUACACAAGGUCAGGGAGACCAUGCUAUAAACUAGGACUAGACAGCAUAAUAUGUCAAAUUUUAGUCCAAAAGCCCAAAACCAUUUCGGGAUUCUCGAUUUGUCCCGAAAUCCUGAAACUAUUUUGGGAUUCCCGAAAAUUGGGAUUCCUGAAAAUUUGGUUUGGGAUCGGUAUUGAAAUUGGGAUUCCCGAAAAUUUCGGUUUGGGAAUCGGGACAAGGGUUUCUGUAUGGGAUCCCAUACCGAACCACCCCUAGUUUCUGCAGUGGUGAUUCUGGGUUUUUGGGGGAAAGGGUUAGAGGGAGUUUCAAUAACAAGCUUUGGGCUAAUCAGUUGAGAACUGACAAGAGGAAGGUGAUACCUGGAGCUGUUCUUGUUGUUCUUACCUCAAAAGAUGCCGAGGCUGUCGUAAGUUAAUCCUUUCUUAUGUUCGAUUGCCCAUUUGAUAAUUAUUUAGAUGAAUAAGUAAUUUGUAUGAUCAUUGCUAUUUGUGUAUGUUAAUAUUUGUUAUUUCGUUAACUUUAUAUGUAUGAUGAAUUAUGAAAAAUAUUUUCUUAAUCAUGGGUUCGGUCUCAGACUCUGCAAAUGCCAUCGUUACCUAGGCGGAGAGUAGACCUGAAAAAUGUAGCUUCGAUUAUAUUAAGACGAGGAAGAAGAAGUUGCACAUGUCAAAGUACAAUUUUACUCAUGUAUUAACAGAUAGUUAACGAAAAAAUCAUUUUUGGACUAAAUUUGCUAAUGGAGUACACCACAAGGGUUUAAAUCCGAGUUUUUUUAGCAUAUGGGUUAUCUUCCAAAUACGUUAUGACCACAUAAAUCAUUUAUCCAAUUUGGCCAAGAUGAUAUAUAUUAACUGACAAAGAAAGCAGUAAGUCUCCAGACUAUUUUAUCUUUAUUUGGUGAGGGUGACAAUACUUUUCUGGAUGCUGUUCAUUUCCAAUUAUUUCAAGAGGCAUUCAUAUGAAAUGCUACAAGUGUGCGACCAAAAGGAUCGGCAUGAGAGAAAGAUUACAAUAAACGAUGACAAUCAGAUAAAUGAUUUUAUUCUAGUUAAUAUCAUUUCACGUUUUGUUUUAAUUUCUUACGUAUUAGUAAACAUAGAAGAUAUCCACAAUGUUCUUCUCUUAAUUAACUCUCUUCUGUUUACCACCCAAAUCCUAGAGGCUUAAUGAUGAUAUCAAUCAUUUGAUAAUCAAACAGAUUCCCCACCAACCCUUUGAUCUAACUGAUGAAUUAUCAUUCAAAACCAGAAAGCAACCACGCAAAGAAAAAUCCCAGAAUUAGUGUACGAAGGUUUUACGCCAAUCGGUCACAACAUGCAUGAUUCACGUUUUGAAGAGAAACGUUGGUUUUUAUUUGGUUAGAAGUUGAUUCUGUUUUGUUCUCGACUUCUUGCACUAGCUCUCCUCAAUUAGUUCCUUGGCAAUUGAGGGUGGAGUGGAGAAAUUGCUUGUAUGGAAUUUCCCAAUAUAUUUUUUAUCUUCUAACAUUUGUAGAGAAGGUAAUCAAGUCGAUGAUACCCUUACAAAUCAUGGUUCCUCUUUUAUUUGUCUUGUUUGGAGGAUUCUCCUCCUAAUUUUAUAUUGCCAUAUUACCAACGUGAUUCUGUAGGGCUUCCACACUAUCGUUUUAGAUAGGUUUCUUUUGUUAGCCUUGUCAUAUCUUGUAUUGAUUGUUGGAGGGUUCGUUUGUUACAUCUAUUGUCGUUGUUAGAAUUAGACUUUAUAUCCCCCUUUAUGUUUGUAAUUUUCUUAAUCUUUAAUAACUCUACCUCUUUGUCAUUUCCCAUAAUAGCAAUGUUGGAGUAACGAGUGUAAUCAUGUGUAUGUUGGUACACUAAUGUUUGCAGUAUACUAAUUUAUAGUGUUAAUCUAAGUUUACUAUUCUAAAAUUUCUUAAUUUUUAACAUUUAAUACAUCAAGUUUUUUUGUCUUUGAUUGAUACCUAAAAUCAUAAUUUUGGAACACUUUGAUAUAUCCGUUAAGUUUUCAGAUAGAGUUUCUGUUAGCUAAUGAUGUGGCAUCCAUAUGGACAAUAACUGGACGCCACGUGUCAAUAUGGUCCACGUGAAUAUUAAAAAUUUUAAAAAGAAAAAAAAAUAGUCUGAUGACUCUCUUUUGGAGCUCCGACUAUGGAGCUAGCUCUGCAGAUGUCCGCAACCUUCCCAAAAAAAACCACCUCACCCAUUACCGCCACUUCAAAUUUCUCACAACCCAAAACCACUACACCUCUCUCUUCCCCCAUUUCUCUAAAAACCCACAACGGCCAGAACAACCAUUAAUAGGCCCACUAAAUUUCUUCAUCUUCUUCUUCCUCCUAUCUUUCAAAUUUGGGGUUUUUUUUUUCCAUUUUCAAAUUUAGGGUUUUCUGGGGGCGGGUUUAAUAAGUUUGGAUGGUUGAAAUUGAUUGAAUUUGGGGAUGGAAGUCGAAGAUGGGAGAUUUUUGGAAUGGAGGCAGAGAGAGGGAGGGCUUUGAAAAAUUGGGAUCUGGGGUGAAAGGGUUAGAAGAAACCCCAGAGAGGUGAGAGGCUUUGAAAAAUUUGGAGGCUGGGGGUGAGAGUCUUCGAGACUUUUCAGGUUUUAUUUUUUAAUUUUUAAAAUUGAUGUAGGGCUAUAUUGACAAGUGAUAUUCAGUUGCCAAGUAUUGUUUGAAGAAGAAAGGAAGAAGGAGAAAAGGAAUAAGAAAAGAAUAAAAGUAGAGAAACAAAAAGUAAAAAAAAAAACAAAAUUAUUAAUAGAUUUCAAGGAAACUGAAAUCGACAAAGAAAAAGAAAAACCCACCUCUUUUACCGUCUUUCCCUCUCCCUCCAAUGGUUUCCAACCUCCUCAAAGUUCACAAACAACGAAUUGUCUAAACUCUAUAGGAACCAUCAACCUCAAAUGAAAUCUAGUGAAAGAAAUAAAAGAAAAGAGGUCGCAUUGGGGCCCAAAGCCCCAAGGAAAAACCUUCGAAAUCAUAGGCAUAUAAUACUGGACAAGGAUUGUCUGUCCUCCCGUGCCCUCCUGUUUGUGUGGUCACAGUUAAGCCACGUCAACAUUUUAUAUUACUAUUCAUUUUUGUAUUAUUAUCUCUAUAAAAAAAUAUAUAAAAUGUUGACGUGGCUUAACCGUGACCACACAAAACAAAAAAGUAUGGGAGAGCACUAGAAGUGGGAGGGCAUACAAUUCUUGUCUUAUAAUACUAACUUUUCAGCGUGAAAAUUCAGUUAGGAUGGCCCGGGACCAUCCUGGUCCGCUCGGCCUCACAUCAUUUCUAUGCUGCGUUACAUGUUUUUGAGUGUUUUAUUUUUGUUGCAAUUUUGACAAGCAGUCAAGCACCCCAAGAGCCUUGCGAGAGUAGAUUGUACAGUAUCUACAGUCAACUUACCAAUACAAACUGUCAUGUAUGGAAUAUAAUUAUAGAAACCAUGCUCUAACAGCAGUCACAAAUCUGGAAAAUAAAUGAUGCGUGGAUUUGUAGCAAAUGUUACACCACCUGUGAUUAUACAAAGGUAUCUCUACUAAGGGGGUGGGAGAGUGCGCUAACCCUCACACUUCCAAGUAAAGAACAAUACUAUUAAACCGUAGUACUAUGUGGCAGCUGAUCCAUUUUUUUGAAAAAGAAGAAUCAAUUGAAUAUAUUAAAAGGAUUAUCAAUUAAUUUGCAAGAGACGAAGCGUUUUCCCUGUAGAAGAAAAUCAAGCGAAUCAAGGUUUUCUGAACCACCAAGACACACAAUCAUAUUUAGAGGACUAUUUGGAACUUGGGGGCAAUCCGGUCAAAAGGGGAGAUCCAUCCACCAAUAAUUGGGGAAGCAGCAAAGUUAUUGAAUUGGUUGGUACACUGACUUAGACAUCAAGCGUGGCUUAGGUCACAUGGACUUCCACAAGAUACAUAUUAUCACAUGCCAAAGGGUCCCUCUUGGAGGUUUCCCUUCUGUGAGAGAUGCUUUUGACCCACACAACUCACAAGAACAAGGCAACAAAACACUACAUGACUACAGACACAAGAAACUCAUCACUCACUCCAUCACUUUGCUGCUUUGCAUAUAAAUGGAUAAGAACUCGAAACCCUAAUCGGCACGGAAGGACAUGGAACUACUGCUUCAAACAUUCAAACUUACUGCAUCUCUCAUGCAUCCUGAUCAUCCCACCCUUCUGUCCUUCCCAGUUUAUGAUUGUGUUCAUGAAAUCACAGCUGAUAAUUCACUAAGCAUGCGAUGAAGAAUUAGAUACUUUGUCUAAGGUGUGUAGGUUGGGCUUAACAAAAGUGAUGCACACUUACCAUAAGAAUAUGUAAAACAUGGACUUCGCAUAAUGAAUUUGACUGAUUAUGAAAAUCUUGCUAAUAUUAUACAACACUAGAAUUAAGGUAAAUGGGAAAGAUAGAGAAGUGUUGCUCACUAAGCAAAGAUAGAUUUGAGCUCUAAAAUAAUUUUGCAUCUCAAGACUACUUCCAAUAAAUUUGAGCAUGGUAGUGUGUCCGAAAUAUCCGCGAGAGUCAUACAAAUGAUACUCGCGCGAGAUCUAGGACUCGCGAUUGCGAGUCUUCUGUGUAUGUGUGGAAAGUGCUGUUUUGAUUACUUAAUUUCUCUACUGCUCGAAUGAGCUUACUAAACACCUCAUAGAGCAAAGGACGUUUCUAUCUCAAGCUGAAGAAUCUCGACAAGAAUACUUCAAAAACAUAUCGUAUGUGUGCCGUCAUACCCACUCUCCCUCCAUUUCUUCCUCAGUUCUUGCGCUUAGAUUCAUGCGUUCCCUCAACUAUCGGAGUGUGAGAGAUGUUGUACAUACGCGCUCUCAAGAAUUGCCGCCCCAACCUUGGGCGCUCCGCUCAUUCUUCUAAUUAGUAACAUAUUGCUAAUUAAUCUUGGCUUACGUGUUUAUAAAACCAACAACAUCAAUACCAAUAGUGAUAAGUUUGACUCUCAAUGAUAAUAUGCUCACAAGAGCAGAGUAAGUCUAUGUAAAGUUUUUUGAUUUAUAAUAUUAUAUAUUGACAAAUCUGCGAGAUAUGAGGGACUAUUCAGAUUGUUCCACCAAUGUCAGCAUGUCUCUCAAGUAGACACCUAGCUCUCGAUUGUCUCCAUUUACCUCAGCCUGUUCCCAAAUGACACGCCAAAUUUACCAUUUGAGAAAUCGGUUCAUCAACUAUACACUCUCUCACACUAUUCCCCUACUUUGAUUUUAUAAAUUACUCAACGUCGUACAGCCAUCUCGAGUGAUUCAUUUAUGGUCCCUCUCUCCUCCAAUUUUCUCAAGUGUAGAGUAGACUCCCAGAAUUACAUCCUCGACAAUUCUCUAACCUACAAAUGUAACUCUCUGCAUCACCCUCUCUAAUGCUACAUCAUAGGCGGCCCCUCUCGAGAUAACUUCAUCAACUACCUCUGAUGACUUCGUUCCUCUCUCAUCAUGCAGUGCUUCCUUCAACUCCUCAUGAUCUCUUUAUCUUAUUGUGCAUAUCAAAUCUGACAGUAUACUGAAGAACAUAAUACUUGAGCUCAGCCACUUGAUUUCUUAUGAAGAUUCUACAUGCUGGCGAGAGGCAUGUGUGAAGGAGCCAUAUACUGCAGCGUCGGCCACACCUGCGUCUUGAGUAAACAACUGAUGCCACCACGACCCAGACGCUCCAACUCAGUGGGAAGCGAGAUCAAGAUACAUACUAUUCGCAUCUUGCGAGUCCAUGGCGAUAUAGACAAAGUGAUAGGGUAGACCACGUAGUAGGGCGUACUGAUGAUAUGAAGUGAAAAAGGUCUUAGACUAUGACAUAAUAUGCAUGAGUAGGGUAUGGCUGGGCAGAGCAGAGGAUAUAAGCUUUAUGCAAUCCAAUUAGGUAGGCGAGUACAAUCCCCAAUACACAGUUUUUCUUUCUCUUUGAGACGCUACUAGAGGUUGGAGGAGAAGAAAGUAUGUGGAGGAAGGUACAAAGAGCGAAAUAGUGAAUAAUUUCUUAUAAAGAAGGGCGGUAACGAUAUUUUCGUGUGAGAAUGUGGUUACUCAGUGAGUUGCUAGGUCAAGAAACGCGAUCCAAGGCAUACUAAUUAUGUAGGUUUCGCAAGAGGUGUUUACGCUCCCGUAUCGUGUUAUAGUGCUCAUUAGACUACGGAGAACUGUUGAAAUGUGCAGAUAUAAGAUGUCAGUACCUCGUACUGUGACAAUGUCAACGAAAUGUACAUACAGGAGAGCUGAAGCGACCAAAGAUAUGAAGCUGAUUUAUUUGUACUAUGGUAGUGAAGUGAUGUUUUUUAGAUAGUGAGAGAUGUAAAGAUUAACUAUCUAAACAGACUCAAAUAGGUAAUUAUAAUUGAUGGUAGACGACUCCGUAGCAGCUACUUCGAGUGUGCAGAUAUUCGGCUUUAUAGUGACCAUCUCUUGCAACACAAAAAUAGUCAAAAGACAUGUCUUUCUAAGACAGGCGCACCGAAGUACAUUUGCUCAUGAGACUCCAACCAAAAGUAUCUUCCUAUAACAUAUGAGAGUCUAGAUAGAGAACUAUAUACGAAAGUUUAAAUACAUGCGAACCCAUAGCCAUACGAUGAGAUCAGCACAUAAAUAGUAAGCUUUUACAUAUAUAUCAUUGGGCUCCUAUUUCUGCGAUAAAAUAUAUCUCUCAUGGUUGAAAAUUCUAUGUGGAUUGUGGCCGGCUGACGUCGUGGACUAAAAAGACUCCUGAUUGACCUCCUGAAUCCUUUAACAUAAUACGAAAUUUGAUAAUUCAACUGACAUAUUACAACUUUUCAGCAAGCGAAGAUUGAGACCGACCAGUUAUGAAGGAAUGCAUCACUUAUGUAUACGACAUAUGAAUACAUAUCAAUUAAAGGUCUAUCGACCUGGAUUAAAAAAUCUACACUUAAUCAACAACCAUCAAACGCCACCCAAAUUAUAAUCCCAUUUUUUAAAAUCUCGUAGCAGUGCAGUAGAACUCCUAUAUUCCGAUAUGCUAUACGAUCGAUCGUUGACAUCAAAAAUACGAGUUGGAACACGGAAAAACAGUAGAUAAUCAACAUGUCGUUGUUGCCAAAAAAAAUAUAAUCAAUGAAGACCCAGAGAGAGGGUUUUGUUAUUUGUAGUACUAGAUUAAAUCAUUGUCGCGUGGCAACAUACAGAAUCUAAAAUUCAUUCAAACUCAAUUAAGAAGACCGCUAUACCGCAACUGCUUUUAUUCCGCCAUACUGUUACCCGAUAUAUACAAAAAAAGCGGAAACCACAAGAUGUGCUCUGUGACUAACCAGUUCUAUCUCUCGGAAAGUUUGAUCACCGAGAAUCUCCUCGAAAAUCCAAUGCUUACCAGUACCGUCUAACUACUCAAUGCAUUGAGUCACCUCAUUAAUACGACAGAGCAAUAUAUACCAUAUAUUGUGGAUUCAACAAUGAGACCGCAACCGGAGUCCGUCACUAUUAUAGACUCCAAAUCUAGAGCAAACGCUAGUAAGAUUCCAUAUUAAAGUAAAUUUAUAGCAUAUAGCUAGAAUAGAAAUCAAAAUAGUGAAUAAUCACCAAAAGCACAGAAAAAGACAAAAAAAAUCCUCAAUUAAAAACUAGACAAAGACAACAGAAUAAUACAGCAGCUUAUUAAUUGCGUGCAAUAAACAGUCAAAAUAGUAGAAUACCGCGCAAAUACCUACGAGUAGGAUGGAGCACAUCUAUCUGCUCUACAUAACCUGCACAAAGCUUCAAGCGACAGAAGAUCUAUUCACCGCACCUCGAUUUGUAUCAAGCAGUAUAGAACUUGAGAGAAAAAAUGCAAUUAGAAUGACGUUCGCGUAGAGCUAACUUCGAGUAUCGCGAAGAAUUGAGUUCUGAUUUCUUGGGACAACAACUUGUGCGCUGCCUUCGGCUCCUCCUUUAAGCUCGUGCUGCACCUGCGGUCCUGUGGUUGUUCUCUCAAAUCUCGGCUUCCCACCGUUGUUGCUGUAUUUGGCUAUAUCCUGCCUCCGCACCCGACCCACCGGCGUGUGUGUCAUUUUAGGUGCUUUGUCUCCGUGUCGACCAGCAAGGCGUCUUCGCUAUUGAGGCGUUGCCUACUACUAGAUUCAUAAUCUUCUCGGUGAGGAGGAUUUAAGUAGUCCGAUGAAGAAGAGCUGGGGGUGUGUUGUGCGAGCUGUGCUUACAAAGUGCAGGUGCGAAGGGGCAUUAGUUGGAAAAGAGACUGAUGAUAGCCAGUACUUGUUAUGGCGCAUGUCUCUCGAUGCGCUCAAGAGAGGUGCCUCUCAAUUCGUGACUUUUCUAUAGGUGUACUAAUUAAUCUCGACGUAUUGAACACGAAGCGUAAUCUCGCACCUAAUUAGAUAUAAACACAAGGCAAAAAAAUAUCUACAUGAGGACUUAUGCGAAUCCUUCUCUUGCUCGUUUUCUAGGCUCUAUCACGCAUUACAAUACCAAGCUUUUCUUGAACAAAGUUGUAUAAGUAACCCUUGGUCAUCUAAAUAUGGUAUUCCAAAUAAUUAAGAGAUCUUAUGAUUAACCAUAUCGGCUAUGUUAUAGUUUUGAAACGAAUUAGUGAUAUUCCCAUUUUUACCAUCAUACCAGUAGGAAUUCUCCAUGACUCAGAUCUUGGUCCUUAUGUUAUAAGAGAGAGCAAUAUCAGCAAGAGAGUGGGCCGGAAUUCUCUCUCUAACUAUCAGUAUAUCCAGAGUGAGAUGAUACUCUCUCUUCUCGAAUACAUGUAAUCGCCUGAUGAUAAGUUAUAAUCAUUAAAGAAGAUAAAAACAUUGGAAGGUGAUUGUUAAAUCAUUCGAGACACAUAAUCGUAGACUAUUGAAAUAUCUGGUUAUAAUAUUAGGAGUGUCAAAUCUUCUAUUUACAGUAAGAAGCAAACUAGUGGUAAACUCCUCAGAGUGUAUAGCGGAGACUUCCAGGAGAUAAUGGGGAUAUAUUGUUUAAAUCGUUAAUGAGAUCUCGUAUGGUUCUUAUGGAAUCCACAGGAUAUUAUUGACCGUCUGCAAGUAAAACUAAUCAUUAACUCUCAGAUCUUUCUUCUACUCGCUGCUCUCUUCCGAACAAUCAUGCUCUAUAUUACAAGACUAAUCUGUCAUGUAGCACAUAAAAUCCCUAUGUGUGUAUUAUUAGCGACCUACUUCUCUAUCCACAAUAUUUGGUAUAGAAUAUCGUACAAGACACGUACUAAUAUUUCAUAAUACCGUCUGCAUUCGGCGUCUCUGGACAAGGUGUCGCUAUUAUGGAUACGUAAAGGUCCUCUGAACCCGAAUGGUGGAGAAGAGUCCUCUUCUCUCGAUUGAUCUUGCUCGCCUUCACCUUCUUCUGUUAUUAAAAAAAAUAAACAUAUUAGUUGUAAUACUUAAAUAAAAUUAAAAAAAAUAAUGAUAAACAUUAGUAAAAAUUAAAAAAAGUAAAAUGAAAGAAGUCGUAAUUAAAAACGCACCACAUAGCCCGGCUUCUAAAAAUGACCGUAAAGCCAAACCCAACUAUCUUGUCAAUCCUCCAACUCCUUCGGAUAACCCUCCUUAAGAGCGACAUGCGGAUCAUCAAAUUGCUAGAAACAUUGGUGCAGGUCACUCUUCCACUACUUGUAGCGUUCAGAGAAGAGCCGAUUGAGGUACAUGAACAUGUCCUCGUCCAUGUCCUCCAAAUUGUAGUUUGUCUGCAAUGUAACAAAUAUUUUGAAGGUAUUAGUAAUAAAAGACAAUAAUAAAUAUAAGUAUAUAAAUUUUACUUGAAAAGCAUUAAAAAGGAAACGCUACUUACGGACAAUUGGUUGCACACCGUGUUCUUCGUCUCCUCUGACAUCGCCUUCCAAGACUUCCACCGCAUAGGGCAAAAGGUCAGCACGACAUGCCCAAUGUCGUGGGCCUAUGCACUAUGCUACUUCACGGUUGGUGCUACUCGAUGUCACUCAUCAUAUCUGAUUGGGAUACGACCGUUGGUCACCCGGGUAACAUUCGCCGUCUUCAAUUGCCGACAAGGUCCCUGGGUGUUUUUCUUCACUGCAAAGAGAUGAAAAAAAAUCAUUAACCCAAAACUAAUAACAAAUCCUACUAAACUUUCGGCAUAACAUCCCCUAUAUUUAAAACAUUUCCCAAAACCCUGAAAAUAACAUAAACAAUAUACGCAACACAAUGAUCACAACAGUUUAAUAAAAGGUUCGGAACGAUGACAACUUUCAAUAUUUAUUCUAUAAAUAAUUAAUACCUGAAAUAUUAUUCUAUAAAUAAUUAAGUCCUUAAAUAUUUAGUCUAUAUAUAAUUAAUUACUUAAUCCAUACAAUUAUUUUCAGCAUAAGUACGAUAUUCAUUGAAGAUUGUAAACACAUAUAAACCGAGGAUAAGGUUCUUACAUUAGGAUCCAAUAAAAAAACCAACAAGAAUUGAAACAUAAUUAAGUCCGAAUAAAUAACAUAUAAAAAAACACCUUAAAAUUUAAAUAUUGUCUUACAAAACAUAAAUUUUAAAACUACUAUUUGGAUGAUCCUGGUCCAUUCUGCAAGACUUCAUAACGCCAUCGAUUGUAACCUCCCUCCAACGUAUUAUUCAUCAACUUCAUCAACUGUUCAUUCGUAUCAUCAUCAAGAGUAUACUUACACUAUUACACAUAUAUGCAAAUAAUUAAUUUUAACAUAUAACUAAAAAUUUCAAAAACUUAAUUAUUAAUCCAUCAAGAAUAAUAUACUUACUAAUAUUUCAUCCAUCACAGCCUUCUUCACAUUCCUGAACACAUCUUCCCAAGAAUGCCACUCAGCAGUGGGACAAUUAUUCCCCAUGGCUACAACAAUCGAAUGCGCAAACUCAAAAUGAUCCCUUAAAUCAUGCGGGUUGGCAUCACGUACACUCUCACCCUUGUUCUUAUCCGCCACCCUAGCACGAAUAGAAUUUUGAAGAAUAAGGAUAAUAGAAUUGUGAAGAAUCAGGACAGAAGAAACGAAUAUUUAUAGGUAGGUUAGGACCUUUGCGUGACGAAGCCUUUGUCGCGCAAACACAUGUAUUAAAUGCGGUAUUAAUUCCUCAAAUUCACUUGCAGUAAAUGGUCAAAACUGACAGGAACUUGCGCGACGAACUAUUGGUCGCGCAAUUUCUUUAUUUCGUUGUGCAAGUUUUUCGGGCCAAACAAAAUUACCCCGUGUUUUCUUGCUCACUUUCCACAACGCCAGCGAUUAUUCGUUGCGCGAAGUGUUCUUGCAUGACGAAACUCUUCGUCGCGCAAUUUUUUUUCCCUCCUCUCUUUUAUAUUUUGCGCGACGAAGUGUAUUUUUCGUCGCUCAAGUACGUCUUGCGCGGCAAAAUAUUGUUCGUCACGCAAAAUAUCGUCGCGUAAGCUUUUUCUACUAGUAAUGUUGAAGUUUAGGGUAAAUUCCGGCAAAAGGUUAUCGGACCUAUGCACGCUUCCUCUGCUAUAGUUCUCUUUUCUGCUGGUGGUCACACCACCACCUCCAAUGUGCCUUUUGUUGGCACGUUUACAUAUAUGUGGAGGUCUGGUUAAUCUCUCCUCUUUAAUUGAGUUUACAAACUGAACUGUGCUCUGCACCCGUGAUGUUGGGUUAUUGUAUGUGGCAUAGUAGUCCUGAAGGAGGUUGGAUAUCUUCUAUUAUUGUAAUACUUAUUUUUACUUUUAGAAGCAUUAUAAUUACCCUAUAUUUCAAAAAUGAUGAUAAUCAGUGACCUGUUAACAUUAAUAAGAGACCGAGCAUUCAUGUAUGUGUCGGUCGUUGUGCUUAUACUUAGGAACGAUUAUAUGUUAUAGUGUCAUUUAUAUGUCUUCAAUAAAUUUAAAGUGAUAGAGACACUAUAUAUUUGAUUUGUGGAUUGAUAUCAUUUUAUGCAGAAUUUUAAUAUGGCUACGAAGAAAUAUCUCGUAUAUGAAUCUCAGAUAUAAGUAACACUGAUUAUCAUUCGAUGCUCUGAUUACCCGAUAAGUUAUUGGAACAAUAAUAAUUUUGGCACCUUUGAUUUGGUACCCUAAUAUAUUAAUAAAACAAAAAGAAAUACGUGUUUGUUGGCCUUGAAUAGUCCUGUUCAACAUACAGGGUAUCUAAUAGCGAGAGCCGAACCUGCGUAGACCAUAACAUCAACCAGUAGAUGCGUUAGAGACCGUAGAAGACCAAAUUCUAAUCUACACUUCUAGUAUCAAUAAAGCGUGAGAAUAAAUCCGAUAGUCAAAAAAGACACUCGUGACAUUCCUAUGUUCGCGAUAUAAAGUCCCGGGCGCACAAUUGAUAAUAGGUGACGUGCUAAGUCACAGGAAUGUUCGAUCCAUAGUGUAACACGCUUCAGAACAUGGAUUUCUUGGCGUGUUUCGAAUAUCUUCUUUGUAAUGACCGACAUAGUCUUAGACAUAUGUGGCCACACGCCAAAGCAUGAGGCUAUGGUGCACCUCAAUGUCAUCUAUUUUAUCAUAGUCGCUUUUAGGUCCUCCUAACCAAGUCGCGUGGCUAUCGAUACCAAUUAUAGUUUUGCUACCUAAUUGUAGUAUGUUCCAAAUGUGACGCUUGAUCGAUCUCUAACAUACUCCACCUCGAUAAUAAAGAUAAGUUUGAAUAUGUACAACUUCUAAUAUGAUUAGACGUGGUGUUUUAUCUAUUCCUGUGUUGUUUAUUCUCAAACUUGAGGCAUACUUAUAAAUCUAUAUCUCAUUGGACGUCUAAUGACUUGAUUACUUCAUGCGUGGAAAACCAUAGCCAAUGCGUUGUAUAAUGUAUCAAGUAACUAUACAUAUAAUGUAGAAGUCUAAUGAAUGAUAGAUAACGAACAACAUCAUCAGAGUUCUUGGUUAUUAAGAUCCUGUUAGUCAGUGUUGAUAAGAAUAAUCAAGAUUUCUACAUCUUUGAUCAUACGUAAUAUAGAGAAUGAAGAAUCUUGAGAAAAGAAUAAUACAGAAGAUACUCCAUAUAUCAUUAUGGUAAAAGUCGGUGAGUUUGAUGUUGCAAAUUGCCGUCUUUUUACUUUGUAAUUAUAAAUAAAUCUAUAGGUUCAUGACGCCAAUCUGUACAAUCACGUGUAAAAUUGGUUGUAUUAGUAAUAUGACUAAAUGUGUUCAAGAUUUUGAUGGCGAUGAAUAGAAAAUGAUGUACUUAUAUAUCUUAGACUGAAGAAACUUCAACAUGAGAAUGUUUGAUCACGUCAGAUGGUAUAAGUUGUCAUGAAAAUGUUAUAAAAGUGCAUCUUGCAACAAUUAAAAAUGCAUCAAACUAUGAGUGUUAUCAAUGGAUCGGAUAUAUUAAAGACUUAAGCUCUAUCUUGUUUGUCUCGGAGCUUUCAGAGAAGAUUAAAAAGAUGUUGUCUCUCCGGUCUUUAGGGUUUCCUGUGGAGUCCUAACAUGAUGUUCAGUUUGAACGGUACAGUUACAGACAAACAAUGAGCUCAAAAUUUCACAAGCCACUGGCCUGGUGCGCUCAGUCGAACCUCUAUUAUGCGAAAGCAAAACAUUCCAGUUAUUACUCAAAGUCGCCCACGCAACCCAACAUCACAUCUACGACGGGGACCACGACGACCUUUGACGUGUCCACCAGUAGCUCUCCAUGUGACUGUGGUUCCCACCUAAUCUCUUUUCCUUGUCCUUUUUGUUUUAUUGUUUUAUUGUUUUUUGUUUUUGUUUUUGUUUUUUUUUUAAUACAAGUCACAUUUCUAAUGAAGCUGCUACAAUGAGGACUAGAAUUAUCUCCGAGUUCCAAUCUACGAAAGUAAUAAUUCAAUAAUCAAUAAUUAAUUUAUAUAAUUUGAUUUUAAUAGUUUGAUUUCUUUAACAUUACUCGAAACUGGUUCAUCUCAACCGUAGAAAUGUAAGAUUCAUACACUUAGGUUUUGAAUGCAAUGCUACAACACCAGACUACCCGUGGUGCUUGACUAUUUCAAAUUACGUGCAACAAACGAAAGAUGUCACAUAAUGUAUGAGAAGAACAAUUAACAACUAAGUUAAUGUAUGAGAAGAACAAUUAACAACUAAGCUUUUAAUUAACUCUUAAAUCUAAAUGAAUUAACAAUCAGCACGUGGGAAUCCAACUUUUUUUUUUUUUUUUUUUUUGAGAGAGAAAUACGAUAUUUGAUAUUCAUUGCAAACAAAGCAAUACACGUGGGGAUCCAGCUAAUUAAGCGAGCUAGCUGCUGGGCUGCUGGCCAGAGGCUGAGUCAAGUCGUUGGGGGCGUGAAGGCAACAAGACCUGGCACACGUGCCGUUUAUGCGGGGACUAACGCCCAUGUCCGUCUUCGUUUUUCUAGAAAGUAGGAAGGGACCUCUCUGCUUCUUAUUUUGGUCUUAUCCAUUGGUCCAAGAGACCACGUGGGGGUCCAUAGGCCCAAACCAUCCCCUGUAACAAAUAAAUCUAUCAUUAUAGUCCAAAAUAAGCGAUAGAUUGUUUUGGUGGAUUUGAGGUUCUCUCAAUUCAUCGAGUUUCAAAUUCAAAACUUUCUCUUUUUCAUAACUUAUAAGAAUUCAAUGUACAUUAUUUUGUCAUUUGUCAAAAAAAAAAAGGAAUAAAAUUGUCCUAAAGUUAAUUACCAUUUCAUCAUGUACUUUUUUUUUCCAAAUUGUUUUUUUUUUUUAAUAAAUAGUUAAUAUAAAGGAGCCUUAGGCUAUCUCUAACCCAAGGGUGGGAAAUCCUAAUUUUUUUUAAAGAAUUACGAUAUUCAUUAAAGAGGAGAAAACGUAUAAAGCAAGAGGAUAGCGUGCAUAAAAGGGCCUCGAUAAAAACCUUGCCGGGAAUUUUAACCUGGUCCAAGGAAAAAGAGUGUCCCGCGUAAAACAACUUAACUAUAGUUAGCUAUCCUCAGAAAGCAUUAAAGUUAUUGUAAACACGAAUAUUCCUGCAAUGAAAGAGACAAGAACACGUGUACAAAAUAAUAUUUGUAUUAAUGAUUUAGGGGUUACAAUCUCUUUUACAAAUUUAGUCUCUGAUUCGAUCUUCGUAACGUGUAGAUUUGUUGAUGGCUUGAUCUUAGGAUGAACAGGUGAUGAACGAUGAACGCUUUCUUCAAGGGGCCAUUGGGGCUUGAUCUUGAAUUGGUGGAAGUUCCUCAAGGGCAGUUGGGGCUUGAUCUUGAAGGAGGAUUUGACGAAGAACGAAGAGAGCGUUCUUGAUCAUCCGGGAUUUACUUGGAAGCUUUAGAGUUUCAAAGCUUUAAGGUUUUCGUGUGAUGUGAAUUGGUGAAUGAAAAUGAAUGCAUUGGCUUCCUAUUUAUAGAAUUCAAUGGGCAACAGCCGCAACACUGUUCCCCUCAUGUCGAAUGAAGAUUGUCGUUGCAUGAACAAAACUUCAUAGGAGAAUACGAUUAUCAUUGAUGAGAAGACCCAAAAUGGAGAGAUCAUAGCCCUCCCCAUUCAUUGCCGUAAGAGUCAAGCUGGAAUCCCCUUCGAAAAAGAUCCCUAUGCUGCAUGAAACUAUUUCUUGAGCAAAUUACAAGGCUCGCCGAGUUGCUAAGAGCUCUGCCUGCAGCGCUGAACUGAUGUCUUCCUCAACAGUUUCAAGACUCACUAAAAAUUCACCACUAUGUAAGUUAUAUUCUGAAAUCACAACAAUAAGACAUUAGGAUCACGAAUAAAUCAACUCAAUAUAAAAUAGAGAUUGACUAAUUAUAUUAAACUUAUAUAUAGAAUACGGAACACAUGGUUAUAAAGAUGAAGCCAUUGAUCGUUGCGAACAAAGUAGAAGUAAUCUUCUACUUCCACUACCUCUCAAUGAACUCUACUAGUGAAAUAGGCUUGUAGUUUUCUUGAGUUUCAGUUGGUAUGGAAGCAGGGACUGCUCCUUGGUUAUAGAGCUUGGUUUCAACCAAUUCCUCCCUAUUAUCGGAAAAGAUAUCAACCCAAAUCAUAUCUAAUCAAUUAGAGUCUCAUCAUGACUCUUAUUCCUUGUAUUUACUUAAUAAAGGUCCAUAAUUGAUUGCAUGUAAUUAGGACUCCAAUAUGUUUAUUUCCUUAAGGCACCGAGAGUCCUAGAGAUUUUAUUAGCUUGAUUGCCAAGUCAACCAUUCCCUCAAUUAUUCUAAGCAUAAUUCAUUGUCAUUCACAAAAUGGUUUUACAUUCUCCCACUAAAAUGUCAAUGACAAUACCGCAACAAGAUAAAUAUAUAUGGUGAUCACUUGAAUCCACUAAAGUGUGCAAUCAUACCUUUCAAGUAACUUGUCACUUUAAGACUAAAUGCAGAACCAAGGAAAUCAAGGCACACAUUGGACAGUUCCUUGCACUCCAUGAUUACAUGCACACUAACUCAAAACACUAUGUUACUAACAAAGUCAUGAUAUCAAGAGCUAAUAGUCAAAACAUUAGCUCACAAUAGUCGAAAAGUAGUUUACAAAAGAACUCAACAACGUUGGUAACAAAAUCCAACUUUUCUAUCAAUUUAGAAUAUAAUAAGAGAACAAGUAAAAUACAAUAGGGGUGUGCUAUCCACAAUCCUCAUUUUACUUCUCACACAUCAUUUGAUAAUUUUUGUCUGUUGAUCUUCUUCAAUUCAUUCAAUCCGACAACAGAAAAUUAAAAAGGUGUGUGAGAAGUAAAAUGGGGUGUGUGGAUAUCACACCCCAAUAUGAUAUACUGUUUACAAAAUCAAGAUCUCUUAUUAAAACUUAUGAACAAAAUUUAAACAAAAUUUACUCUUAAAGUAUCAGCCACUAAAACUUCAAAUUUUCAAUACAAAAGGUAAUAUUUUACUCCCACUGAUUAAAAGAGACAAAAUUAUAUAAAUUAUUAUUACUCCCACUGAUUAAGAGAGUAAAAAAAACUUUGUAAAUGUUUACAAAAUGAAACAGAUACCUUUCAAAUUCUCCCAUUAGCAAAACAUUAGUCAUGGGAUCUAGAACAUAAAAUUUAUGAGCUCAACAUCUUUAUUCUAGAUAUUUGUAGAGAAGUGAUUUUUGUGACUGAAAAACUAUACAAAAUUAUUUGGUCAUUUUUGUUCAUCUAACAAUUAAAAGAAAUAGAAAACUUUAGCUGAAUGUUUUCUUAUUGCAUCAAAAGCAUAUAAUUCCAUAAUCAUCUUUGGACAUAAACUAAUUAUAUUAGGUUUGCAUAGCUAAAACAAAAACUACAAGGGAAAACGUGUCAUAUAAGCGAGAAGGAGGCCAAAACACUCCCAAGAUGGGUGACCUACUGGGAAGUUGUCUGUGAGUUCCCAAAAACAAAACCGUGAGGGAAUGGUAGGCCCAAAGCCAACAAUAUUGUGCUACAGUGGUAGAGUGGGCCCGGGAUGUGGUGGACCCAGGCUGGGAUGUAACAAAACGUAUAUAGCUUCAACACUUUUGAGCAGAUGAAGUAUAUACAAUCUUGUUAAUUCCAUGUUUCAUUAUACAUUGAUUUAUAGAUGUACUGAAUAAGAAAACACUUUUGAGCAGAUUAAUUAUCUAUCACUAACAUAUAAAUCACAAGUCCAAUUUCUUGAACAACAAACAAGAAUUAAUGUCACAUCCCGCCCUGGGGUCCACCACAUCCCGGGCCCGCUCUACCAUCGUAGCACGAUAUUGUCCGCUUUGGGCCCCGACUACGCCCUCACAAUUUUGUUUCUGGGAAUUCACAUGAGAACUUCCCAGUGGGUCACCCAUCAUGGGAUUGCUUUUGCACGCUACUCGCUUAACUUCGGAGUUCCGAUGGAACCCGAAGCCAGUGAGCUCCCAAAAGGCCUCGUGCUAGGUAGAGAUAAGAAUAUAUAUUUAAGGAUCACUCCCUGGGCGAUGUGGGAUGUUACAAUUAAUAAGCAAAAAUUUAGUCUCACAUUUUUUAACUAAUUACCUAUAUUUAUGAGGUUAGUCAGUUUUUUUCAUAUACAUGUUAGGGACAUAUAAUUCUCACCCCCUAACUUUAUAAUUUGUUAACUUUGUAUUUCUUUGAAUUAUUUUUUGCUAAUAAUUUUGGAAUUAGUUUUUGUAUAAUCUAUCUUGUUUUAUUUUUUAUGAACAUUUUAAUGUAAAAAAAUUCAAAUUCCCAAAAAAAAAAAUUAAAGAUAUUUUUUUACCAUAUCACAAUUAUUUUUGACAUACUAUGAGCUGUGGGAUCUUUUUUUACCGUUAAAAUUGAUCACAUUUGAUAUGAGUUGUUGGAUUUAAAAGGUUACCGUUGAAAAAAUAGUUCAAAACUGACCGUUGGAUUGCAACGGUGAAAAAAUAUGGGGCACAUAAUAAAGAUCCGUUGGAAAGUGAUGUAACUCGGCGUGCCACACUGGAUAAUAACCCAAGAGCUAGCGAUCUACAACCAUUGAAUGCCAACAAUGCGCCAAUUCUUCUAACCAUAGAAAGCCUGCUUGUUGUGCGCUCACCCGAAAGGAUCUCUCUGCCCUAUUCCUUCUGGCGUGGAGACCACCCUUUUCUGCCCCUUCACAUGAUGCUUCUGCAAGCUGGGGCUCUCAGCCCACUUGCUUUCCUUAUCCAUGUGGCUGCCCCGUCGGUGGGAAGGGGGCGGCGGGGCGGGGUUGCAGACCCAAAUACCAACCCGAAAACCAAAAUCCUAAUUUCCCACUCCCAAAAUUUGGGUUUUUAUAUUUUAUUUUAUUUUGUUUUGUUUUGUUUUGUUUCCCACCCCUGCUGGAGACAGCCUAGUGUGCAACGAUAAAAGUUAACUAGAGUUACGAAAUCCUUGUCCAAAUAAUUUUAUUGUAUAAGGUGAUGGUUUUUUAAUUUUAAUUUUUGUUCACAGCAAUGCUACACAUGAUUUAAAACUUGUGUGUUAUUUUUGCCAUUUAUAUUGUGAAAAGAUCCAUGAAUAAACGCUGCCUUCAAAGUUUCAAACCCAAAACACUAAUUCCAACAUACAGAUUAAGCAUGUACUGCUAAUUUAAUUGAAUUUUGUUAACGAAUAUGGAACUCGUAUAUAGAAAAAUAAUAGAUCAAGCAUCUUCUUGUCAAUGGCUCUAUUGUGCUUACAUUAUUGUUCUUCGUUUGUUGGCAAUUCUCGUGCAGGCAGCUUAAGAAUUCAUGGUCACAGUGCCCCGAAUUGGAAGCCACAGCAAGGCCAAGGGCAUGGAUUCACUUGGACUGUCCCAUUUCCGGCCUGGUUUUAUCAUCACAUCGGUUUACAAGGCAUUUGGGUUUCACCCAACUGGAUUUGGCUGCCUUUCGAUUAAGAAAUAAGUAAUCGGAUGCCUCCAAAAUCAGCCGGGUCAAUAGGAUCUGGAAUGGUGAAGGGCUGAUAACGUGUUGUGACCUAAAUCUGAAGAGAAAGAAAGAGUGUGCGACAACGAGAAGAUGGAGGAAAGGCUGUAGGAAUUCUGUGUUAUGAUUUCUCAUGCCUAGUGUCUUUAUUAAUAGUAGUAAUGAGAAGAGGCUCUCCAAGUAAAACAGAGUCGGGCGGUGGGCUGAGGGCCUGGGACCUAGUGCUUAAGUGGUUAGGCGGAUGCCUAGGCAGACAAGGCAAAUUUAAACAAAUUUAUUAUAUAUCGUAUAAAUAAGUACCUAUUUAUACUUAUAUGUGUGUGUAUAUAUAUAUAUAAUUGUAUUAAAAUACAUAAAUUGCUAAAUAAAAUGAAAUAUUAUAAAAUAUUAGAACGUUGAAAACAUAGGGUAUAAUGAAUGUUCAUUCAAGUAUUUAAUAAGUCUCUUAUAUUUUAUUAAAAAAAUAAAAAGAAAAAUAGAAGUUAUUAAUUUUCUGUCUAAGUGAAAGUCGCGAUCUUAUAGAGUGCAUAGGCAGGUCUAGACCUAGGCGAACUAGGUAGACGCCUAAGCAGGUCAAGACGUAAUUUCUUAAUUUUCAAAUGCCUAGAGAUAAUCGGAACGUUAAGUCAAUGACCAACUGUCUAGCACCUGUGCGAGAGCCUAAACAGCGCUAGAUAGAGAUUUAUAGAACUGUACUUAAGAUUUACAUAAUAACACUGUUAAAUUUAUUAUAACACACUUAUCAAACUCACACUAAUCCAAAUCAAAGUUCUAAUGUCAAAUUCUUAUGUCUAGACAUCAUCAUUACCUAAACACGUGGACGGCCUAAAAGCAACCAAGACAUGAGACACGCAGCCGAUUUGGACAAAUUCUUCAACGUCGGUCAUGAACCAUAGUAUCCAACGGUCGAAAUCGAAAGCUACCCACGUUUGCCCAUUGCCCUGUACUUUGAUACUUCAAAGUCAACGACGCCAUCAACGAAAUCUUAGGAUUCAUUCGGACUGCUUUUAAAAUAUGAAAAUAUUUUUAUAUCUAAUCCUUAAUAAAAAUACAAAUAAAUUUAAAAAAAACACUUAAAAGUGCUUCUUGGAAGGAGAACCAGUGUACUUAUUGUAAAAAGUACUUAAAAUGCUUUUGAAACAUAAAAUAAUUUUUUCUAAAAACGUUUUCAACAAUUUUAAAAAUACAUCCAAAUGAUGAGACUCGUUUUGAAAACAACCGUAAAUAACUGUAAUAAAAUCAAUAAAUCCGAUCGUAAUUAUUGCAAAAACGUAUAUUUACUAGAUUCCUAUGAUAGACAUAGUCUUUGAAUAUCCGUUUAGAAAUUUGUUGAUGAGCCCGUGGGAGGUCAGUUUGUUUAAGGAAAGUUGGGGUGCCUCGUCUCAGAUCUUCCAUAUAGAUGCAGAGGGCUUGUCCUUUCGGUUUCUUUGGAGUUUGCACUCGUGGGUUCUUAAUUAAUUUUGCUUAAGGGCCUUAAUUGGGGAUUAAUCAGAUUUCCAUCAUCUCAUACUUCGUCUCGGUCGAAGCCUGGUUUUUUCAGAAGUUUGGAAGCCAUGAGGUGAGUUUGAUUCUUCCCACGUUGUUGCUGUCCCUUGAUUUUUUCCAAAGUUGUUUCCUUUUUUUCUUUUUUUUUCUGGGAUUCAUGGAUUAUGAAGCAUAUAUGUGUGUGUGUGUGUGUGUGUUUUCGGUCAAUAAUUGUCUGGUUCGAUUCUUUUAAUUUCUCAAAUUACCGUUUGUCCAGAGUUUCAUGUCCAAAUGUAAAUUAUUGAUUUGGUUUUCAACACAAUAUAGUUUUGACACGAGCUCGUCUAAUAACAAUUUCGUGUUUAGUUUUUAUUUUUCGUUAGAGAUAGAAGAAAUGCGUGGGAGAAAGGAGAGAUGAAGAAUUACGGAGGAAUAACGGUGGGAGGGACGUGAAAACAAUUUUAAGUUGCUUUCACUUUCUAGUUUUCCCUCUUAUAUCUAGCACAAACCCGAAAAAUGAAAUCUAAAUACGAAAUGGUUAUCAAACGACCUUCAAUUUGUACGUUUUAGAAAAUCGGCCUUUGUUUUUCUGAUCCACCUUGAAUUUUGGAGUGUGUACAAUUUCUGUAUGUAUGACACAAGAUUGCAGUGGCCUUUGUUUUAAUGUCUGUGCUAGUAAGCUUGUGUGUGUUCUUGAUGAAAAUGUACUCAGGAAUUAUGCUCUUGAUGUAGCUGAUUUCUGUGGAGUAGUUUCACAUUGCAUUGAGCGGUUGAGUGUCUAUCUAUAUCGUUUAAUACGUACACUUUUCACAGGACAAGAAAGAUUUUUGGGAUUUCGCUGUCUCUCAUUCUGAUCAAUUUGGCUGCUAUAAUGGAGCGCGCUGACGAAAAUCUACUCCCAUCUGUUUACAAAGAAGUCAGUGAGGCUUUCAAUGCCGGGCCGUCUGACCUUGGCUAUCUGACAUUCAUUAGGAACUUUAUACAGGGAAUGGCAUCACCCCUUGCAGGUGUACUAGUUAUUAACUAUGACCGCCCUGCGGUUCUUGCAAUGGGCACUUUUUGCUGGGCUUUGUCAACAGCCGCAGUGGGUGCAAGUCAUUUUUUUUCCCAAGUUGCAUUCUGGAGGGCAGUGAACGGCUUCGGAUUGGCAAUUGUUAUACCGGCACUUCAGUCGUUUAUUGCUGAUAGUUAUAAGGAUGGUGUGAGGGGAGCUGGAUUUGGGAUGGUAAGCCUUGUCGGUUCCUUGGGUGGAAUUGGGGGUGGUGUUCUGGCUACACUCAUGGCUGGUGAACAGUACUGGAAUAUACCGGGAUGGCGCUGUGCUUUCAUUCUCAUGGCAUCACUUAGUUCUCUAAUUGGGUUCCUUGUUUUCGCGUUUGUGGUUGACCCGAGAAAAAUAGUUACUGACCCGAGUUUUGAGAGGUACGAGAUGAUCAUUUUAUCACUUCUGCACCUAAUUUCCUUGAUUAUUUCAGUUUCCAAAUCCCUGAACAAAUUGUAGCUCUGGUGAUUGUGAAAGAAGAAAGAGUUCAUUGAAUGUGUUCUCAGCAUCUAUCAUUUGUGAUGACUUGGUUCCUUUAUGUUGCAGGGAAGAUUUGAUAAUUAAGGGACCUACAAGUGCAGCAUCAGUUUGGCUGGAGUCUUGGACGGCCAUGAAGGCAGUUGUUAAAGUGCGAACGUUUCAAAUAAUUGUUUUGCAGGGCGUUGUUGGCUCACUACCCUGGACUGCCAUGGUGUUCUUCACAAUGUGGUUCCAAUUAAUCGGUAUGAGCUACUGAAAAUUCUUUUCCUGUUUAAAAGCGCACAAUACUUCAAAGGUAGAAUUGGCAUGCUACUGUUAGCUUGUUAGACAUUGAUUUGUUUCUCAUUUCUAACUACUCGAGCAAUUCGAGUGCAAUAAUUUUCUAGCAUGGAAAUCAAAGGCCUAGAUCCAUGAGGUUUUUAGUUUGAAAUCUUUCUCAUUUCUCACUGAUUCAUAAAUUUCUAUGCAUAUAUAUUUGUUAUUCUGUAGCUUAAUAUAUACUCUGCGUGUCAAUGGAACCGCUGUUGGUUCUCUUUCUACCUCUCCUGUCCUUGCUGAGCUACUAACCUUUAACUUUUACCUUCAAGUCAUUUGACGACUUUUAAUCAUUCUGGUAGGUUUUGAUCACAGCAGUACGGCAGCCUUGCUCAGUCUUUUUGCUGUUGGAUGUGCUAUGGGGUCUCUUCUGGGUGGACUAAUAGCAGAUCGAAUGUCACGGAUCUAUCCUCACUCAGGCCGUAUCAUGUGUGCACAGUUCAGCGCCUUCAUGGGCAUCCCCUUUUCCUGGUUCUUACUCAAAGUCAUCCCACAGUCAGUUGACAGCUAUUACACCUUCGCGGUCACCCUCUUGCUGAUGGGCCUGACUAUCAGCUGGAAUGCUACUGCUGCAAAUGGUCCUAUGUUUGCCGAGGUUGUCCCUGUCAAACACCGGACCAUGAUCUACGCCUUUGAUCGAGCUUUCGAAGGAUCACUCUCUUCUUUUGCAGCUCCCUUGGUCGGAAUCCUUUCAGAGAAGAUGUUUGGUUACGAUGCAAAAUCAGUGGAUCCGACUAAAGGGUCUACUCGGGAGGCCUUGGCGUUAUCACAAGGUCUUCUUUCGAUGAUGGCAGUUCCGUUUGGUUUGUGUAGCUUGCUGUACACGCCUUUGUAUCUGUUUUUCAGAAAGGACCGCGAAAAUGCCAGAAUCGCCAGUGUCAAAGAGGAAGAGAUGACGUGAGAAGUCAUUCUAUAGUUUGAAGAAGCAAUCAAGCACGUGAGACUACCAUUUUAGCUUCUCCCAAGCUUUCAGCUGCAAUACUGACCAGUUCGAGAAGCCGCUUCGUGAAGCGAUACACGUUUACUUCGACACCAAAAGAUUUUCGGUAGCAAAUUUCCAUUUGCACACUAGAUCUUGUGAUUGAUUCAGCAUAAUUGAGUUGAUAGCAUGCCGUGAAUUGUUCUGAGAUUGGCACGUUUAUAAGGCUGAUUAGGAAAUAAUAAAACUUACAUGCUUCAAAACUGCCAUCUGAAAUCGCAUAUGACCAUUGAAAUCCUGUCAUCCAGCGUUUCCCCAAAUGCAGUAUUGUAUGCUCUACUCACUGCAAUAUAUCACUCGAGCACGGAUACAGCAAACUACAACCGUACAGGGCCGGGAGCGGAGAAAUCGUGCAUACAACAUGUGCACACAGUACAAUGUACGGUCACAUGACAUGAUCAGUUUGAUAGUAGAUAGAGAGAGAGAGAGAGAGAGAGAGAGAGAGAGAGAGUGUGUGUGUGUGUGAGAUAACAAGAUAAUAUUUGGGCAAGUCAAGACACUACAAAGCAUUCCAAAAAGUUACAGUGACAUACAUUUUUAAGCCUCCAACUAAAUUGAUUGAAAAAGAAACCGCAAUCUGCAACAAAUAUUACAACCACAUUUCCGUUCCGAGCACAAUGUCAAUUGGCACUCCUUGGUGCUACCAAACGAAAGCUAUGUGCACCGGGGGAAUAAGGUUUGCCCCACAUACCCACCGGCCAUAGCCCUUCUUACAUUAGCUUCAAACAUCUUCGGGUUGUCUCUUAACACUGCAGCUGCAUCAUGAUUUAGUGGAUCUUCAUAAUUUGGUUCCUGCAAACAAAAUUCAAAGACAAAAAUAAGCGACAUUCAAAUACCAGAUGGAAACAAAUCAUAGGAGUGGAGGACUACAAAGAUUCAAGAGAGUCAUUAGUACCGUGAAGAGGUGAUAUAAUCCAUAUAUGAUAGUGUUUAUAUUGAGGACAGGUUUCCAAUCUUCUCGUAGGAUGUUGAGGCAGACAUUUCCUUCCAAGUCAAUAUUCGGAUGGUAGACCUGUGAGGGGUUGGAGUACGUACAAGAGAAUGUUUCAUAUAAGCGAUCAUAGGGAAGAGAUGAAGUUAAACAAAACUAAGUGAAAAAUAUUUUCUUGGCAGCUUUACCUUGGUCUUACACUUGACUUUUGGAGCCUCAUGUGGAUAGAUAGUGGCAACUUGGAACGUAAACAUAAAAACACCGCCUCUGUAAUGGCAAACGGAAAGAUAAUGUAGAAAACUGAUGGUUAUGCUAAUUUACAAGACAUUAGAAACAACACAUAUAACUGUUCUCUAGAGGAACAACAAUAUGAAACCUUCAACACCAUUGCUUCUUGUGGUCGUGUUGAAUUUAUUGUGUAGUUAACUAAAACAAUGGUUGCAGGCACUCACAUUGUCAAGUGUCUUACAGUUGUAAAUUCAUGCACACAUAUAUUCAUAGACAUAUUUGUGUGACAAAGUGUUCGUGUAUGUGGAAACGAAAGAAGAAACCAACUUCUCUUACAAUUGAAAGGUGUCUAAAAUAAUAAGUUUGGUCAAAAUUUUGCAAACAAUCAGUAGAAUUCCUUACUUGUAAUAUCCUUCAUCCGGACGAAUUGUAACCUCAAAGUUCAUCAGCUCAUCCUUGCCAUGAGGAUAAUGAAUGCUACAGGAUUUUGGUAAAUUCAGCUCAGACAUAUCUGCAUCAGAAGCCCCAAGUCGUCAUUUUUUUUUAAUUAAACGGAUGCGUAGAUCUAGAGAAACAAUACAACUCCACGCAUAGUCCAAAAUAUAAAAGAGUAAACGUAAUUCAGAAUGAGAACCAGUUUAAAACCUGCAUCCUCAACCAAAUUAUAACUGAUUUAAAUAAUGACAUGUAAAGUUCAAUCAAGAAUGCUAGAAAAGAUUCAGCUGCCAUUCCAUUUGCUAGGCUUUGUAAUCCGAAAAAAAAUCAUCUCAAUUUCGUAUAUCAACCUGAUUUGAGAAAAGAUGACACGCUAAGUAGUCAUGGUGUUAAUCCAUUUGCUAAAAACUGUAAUGUUUUAAUUUGACUAAAAACUCCACCAGCCUCAACACCGCUAAAUAAUUAUUAUAGUGGAACCAAGGACCAAGAUGGCUGUUUUAUUUCACCAUUCAAAAACCACUCAUAAGCACCAGGCUUAAAAAUUUAGUUUCAGUCCAGGACAAACUCCAACUCCUCAUUAACCCAAACUAAUAAGACAAGUAAACCAUCAAUAGUAAUGAAAACCAUCUAACGGAAUUGAUCCAUACUGCUUAACAAUCACCAAACUCUUUUUGGAGAAGAAUGAUGAAAAUGUGGAAGUUUCAGUUGCAAUAUUAAAACACAUCAACUGAUGUAAUCAUGACAUAGAUGGAAAACCUUUAUUAAGACGCAAUUUUCCAGCAGAUUGCUUCGUAACUGGUGAGGCUCCAUUGGCGUUUUGUGCUCUCAGCUUUUCCUUUUCUUUGAAUAGCCUAAUCAUAUCUCCUGAAUAAGAGAAAACAAAACACAAUUACCCCCAAAGGGCCCAAAUCUGUGACAUGGGAAAACAAUGGCAUAGAACAUACAAGAUAUGUCAGGCGGAUCGAUACACUACAUAAUGUCGAAACUAACCAAAAGAACAUCAAAUGGAGUACACACCAAGCAAGGAAAACAUCAUCAGGAAACCAUAAGAAUUGCUAUUCACUGGUGACUGGUCCUUUAAUUAUUUUUGUUGCCCUUGUUUUUGCUGUAUUAUUUUUUCUUUCUGGACCCUUUAGGGUUAAUGGUAAUACUCAAAACCCUGAAUCAAAAUAUGAUAUGAUCUCUAACAAAUUACAAUCUCCUCUAAAAUAAUAACCCAAAAGUGAUCAAACACUUACAAAUUAGUCCUUUUUAUUAAUACCCUUUUUCGAAUUAAGUUCUGUUCUCAAUCAAAAUGAACAUAAACGAGUAUCAAAAAUUUCUAGAGGGAAACAAAACUCAAAUCAUUCUGAAAAACUAAAACCUAAUAAACCCCCAUAGUUUACAAACAUAAUCAACCAAUCAGAUGUCAAAACCCAAGUGGUACAAAUAAUAAAAUAUCAAAAUUUGGGGUUUUUGGGGAGGGGGGGGGGUAGGGGCAGAAAAAAGUUGAAUACUUUAAGCACCUGAUUGGAUUGCCUGGAAAAUCUAACAGAUCAGAAGAAAGAAAGAGACUUGCAGACAUAUAUAUACAUAAUACUGCGAUGGGUAGAUGCUGACCUGGUAGAGAAGAGAAGCUCUGCAAGGGAAGAGUUGGGGACGAGUGAGAAAGUGAGGAGAGAGCGAGAGAGAGCGAGAGAGAGCAAGGGGGCAGAUUUGGAAGGGAACGACCUGUCGUUUAUGGGUUUGGGGAACCUUGGAAGAUUGAUCGUCUCCUCUCCCUGGGGUUUAUGCCUGAUUUGUUUAUGCGGUGGUUUUGGUGUUCCAUUAUUUAUACUGUUUCUUUACACAAUCUGGAUAAGGAAAAGUUUGGUAUGCACUUGCGUUUUGGAUGGAAACAAUUUAAUUAAAAUAUAAUUUUUUUUGUUGCCUAUUUUAUCUGACAAGGAGAAGGGAGCCGGCGGUAAGAGUAGAGAGAAAUGAGAGAUGUGUUUGUAGAAUUGUAGAUAAAUUGUGUAUUGAGGAUGUUUUAUCCCCUAUGUAACGCAUUUAUUUAUAGUAGUAAAAGAAGAGAAGAAAUCAUUUAUCCCCAAGGAAUAAAAGUGCAUAUAGGAAAGAAUAACUAUAAUCAAAUCUAAUCUAGGAUUUACAUAAUCACAUUUAAACUAGGAAAGUUCACAACACUCCCCGUUGAGUGUGUAAAUACUCAAGGUGGAUUCAGCAUCAUGCAGAAGUUAAGUAAGUCGACUUGUCGACACUGAUUCUAAGGAACAACGUUUAUUCUCAAUAAGGUAAGAACUUGCAUAAAGUAGUAAAUCUCACCCAAAAAAAAAACCCUAAGGCUAUGGCAAAAACCCGAGUAGGGACAAAAUCCAUAGUCUAAGGAAAAAUGUGUGAGAAAUGCAAAGUCAAAAGAAACGUCUACGGGACGUCAUCAGGGACAUGACCAACCCAAGAUGGGUGCCUCAUUAAAACCUGGUUAGGUAGCAAAAAUCCAGUGGGAAAAAUGCUCCUAAUUGUAAGAAAAAGAGUACAUUAAGAUCAAGUAAGUAUCUUCAGGAUACUCCACAUGAGUUUGACACAAUUCCAAAGAGAAAUAACAAUGUUACAACUCAAAAACUUUACGCAUACCAAUUCCUUGAACAAGCUUUUGAAAUGUCGUCUUUGGUAGUGAUUUGGUGAAGAGGUCAGCUAGAUUGUCUUGUGAAUGGAUUUGUGUGACUUCAAUCUUAUGAUGCUCUUAUUGUUAAUGUGAAAAGAAGAACUUCGGCGCAAUGUGUUUGGUGUUGUCUCAUUUGAUGUAACCAUUCUUGAGUUAUUCAAUGCAUAUUGCGUUAUCUUCAAUGAUUGUCGUAAGGACAUUUACGGCGGGGUAGAGAUCGCAGAAGAUUCGAAUAUGGCCCACUACUGCUCUCAACCAAAAACAUUCUCGAGUUGCUUCAUGUGAGGCGAGAAUUUCAGCAUGGUUAGACGAAGUGGCAACUAAGGUCUGUUUAGUUGACCUCCAAGAGAUUGUGAUGCCUCUAACGGUAAAGACAUAACCCGUUUAAGAACGCACCUUGUGCGGAUUAUAUAAGUAUCUUGCGUCAGUAUAACCAAUAAGGCAUGAAUCGACUCGAGAAGCAGAGGGUGCGGCAUCACUUGAGGAUCCUUAUGGAUAUAACAAGCCCAAAUUCGUUAUACCCUUAAGGUAACGGAAGAUGUCUUUCACGCCGGUCCAGUUUCUGCGUGUCGGUGCAUUAUUAUAUCUUGCUAAAAGAUUAACGGCGAAGGAGAUGUCUGGUCUAGUGCAUUGAGCUAAGUACAAUAAGGCGUCCAUCGAUGUUAGAUAAGGAACUUUAGGCUCCAAAAUCUCUUCAUCAUCCUCAUUCGAACUAAACGGAUCUCGUUUUGCAUCUAGCGAUUGAACGACCAUAAGAGUACCUAAAGGUUUCGCUUUAUCCUCGUUAAAGCGGCGCAACACCUUUUGGGUAUAGUUCGUUUGAUGUACUAGGAUUUCAUCCGAAUGGUGCUUUAUCUCGCGAGCUCUUCAGGAAUUCUAAUAAGGUUCAUGUUAUCGACAUAUACUGCAAUUAUCGUAAAACUGGAAUGUGACUUCUUAAUUAACACACAAGGGCAUAGUUCGUUGUUCACGUAUUCCUGAUUAGUCAAAUACUCACUAACAUUUUUUUGGAUUGCUUCAAAUCAUGAAGUGAAUGCCUUAACCGAAUUGAGAGCGUGUUCCAGGGUUUGGAAAUAUUUGAACCAGUCAAUGUAAGUCCUUCGAGAACUUUCAUACAGAUUUCCGUAUCAAGAUCCCCAUAGAGAUACGCAGUUACUACGUCCAUCAACUGCAUACUCAGUUUUUUUCGGAAACUACCAAACUAAUAAGGUAUCCAAAAGUAAUCACAUCCAUAAUGGGUGAAUAAGUUUCGUCAUAGUUAAUCUCGGGGCGUUGUGAGAAGCCUUGUGCAACAAAGCCACUUGUAGCCAACGGGUUUCACAUGUGGAGGAGUAGGAGCUACAGGUCCAAACACCUUACAUUUCGCAAGCGAAUCAAGUUCGACUUGGAUUACUUGUUUCCAGUCUGACCAAUCGGUUCUACAUCAACAUUCAUCAACGGAACACGGUUUAAUGUCAUCGCCCAACAUGAUCUCAGUAGCUACAGCAUAUGCUAAUGCAUUGUCGACGAUCAUCUCAUUUCUACACCACACAUUAUCUAAGCUAGCAUGAUAGACCAAAAUCUCACGAUUCGUAAGAUGAGUAUUUGUCUCUUCAAGGACGCUUCCGUAAUCUAGAAUUUCCUUAUAAGUUGGAUAGAAUGAGUAAGCGAUAGUUGGAUUCACGAUAGGUUCUUUAGGUGCUUGUGCCGUGGGUUUCCUCUUCCGAGGGUGUGAAUCCUUUAAACUAAGAGGUCUGCCACGCUUUUGUGUAGGGGCAGAUGAUUGGCUAGCCGCUAAUGUACGUGGAUCACCAAGAUUGGCGUCCCAGGCCUUCAGGAAGAAAGUUCGUCGUACAUUUGGUAUAUCCAUCUUUGCAGACAUAUUUGCAGUUGGAAUAUGUGAUCUUGUCACGUGAGCUAGAUCGAUGAAAGCAUCUGGCUUGCUCUAAAGAUCUAAUAUACACUGCAUUUCAGUUUUAGAUUGAGCGAUGGGGGGAUUUAAAUGAGACAAAGUGGGAGUCGUCCAUGAUAAUUCACAUCGUUCUUUAGGAAUGUUGACGUUCUUAUCUCCCCCUAACGAUGGAAAUACUGUCUCAUAGAAGUGACAAUCCGCAAAAUGAGCGAUAAACAUAUCGCCUAUCAAAGGUUCUAAGUAACGAAUAAUCGAAAGAUAACCAUAUCUAACAUAGAUUCCCAUCCCUCGAUGAAACCCCAUUUUGGUAUGUAAGGUCGGCGAAAUCGACACAUAGAUCGCAUAACAAAAAACGCACAGAUGCAAUAUGUCGGGUUUGUAUCUAGUAACCAACUGAAUUGCGUUAUAUGGUUGGGUCGCAACAGGCCUCAGGCAGACCAACAUGACUGCGUGCAAUAUUGUAUGACCCAAAGUAGUGAUCGGGAGCUUGGUAUGUAUGACCAACGAUCGAGCAAUCAUUUGUAAACGCUUAAUGAAUGCCUAUGCCAUGCCGUUCUGGGUGUGAACAUGGGUACUGGAUGUUCAACUUCAACCCCAACCGACAUGCAAUAGUCAUCAAAAGUUUUAGAUGUGAAUUCUCCAACAUUAUCCAAUUGAAUAGUUUUGAUCGGAUAAUCAUGGUGGUAAGCCCUGAGCUUGAUAAUCUGAGUCAAUAGUUUGGAGAAUGUAGCGUUCUUUGUGGACAACAAGCACAUGUGUGACCAACGUGUGGAAGUGUCAACCAAAACCAUAAAAUAUCUAAAUGGUCCGCAUCGAGGGUGAAUCGGUCCACAAAUGUCCCUCUGAAUCCGUUGUAGAAAAAUGGGAGGAUUUGAACGAAUCCUAUCAUAAGAAGUUGAGUAAUAAGUUUUCCCAUAGAACAUGUUUGACAUGUGAUUCCUUGAAUCGAACCUAAACUUCGGGUUUAUGGAUGCCCGUGUGAUGAUUUGAGGAUACGGCGCAUCGCUGUUCGUCCAUGAUGUCCCAAACGAUCAUGCCAUAAUGUAAUUUGGCGAGCGGUCCCAGAGGUAGGGCCAACCACAUAGUGACUUUCUAUGGGGCAUAUGGUCGUAGCAUACAGACCACUCAAGAUACGCUUCAUCUUCUCUAAAAUACACUUCUGGCCAUAUUCGUAAGAAGUUAUGCAUAAAAAUUCAACUCUGUUUUCUAAGUGGGUUUCAGCGUGGUAAUUGUUAUCUCUAAUGUUCUUAAAGCUCAACAACGUUCUUCCGGAACGUGGAGAAUAAAGAGCCUCAUCAAUGGUCAAGAUUGUACAAUUAAACAACAUUAUAUGUGUCUUACUGUAUCCUUCAAUCAGGUUGGAUGGGCCCGAGAAGGUUGUCAGAGGUGCAUUCUUAGGUACGAAGUUAGUGAAAUAAAUGCGUUCACGUAAAACGGUGUGCGUGGUUGCACUAUCUGUCAGACAACUAACUUCCUCACUAGUCAUACCUAGAAUCAAAAAUUAAUUUGAAUCGGUCACAUGCAUAAAAGUUCUAAAAACAAAUAUCCAUUCAAAAUAAUUUUUAAGUAUUCAAGGACGGAAAUUAAUUAAAAGCUUAAUAUCCAAAAACGAAUCACCAACAAAUAAUCCAAACAUAAAGGAAAAUUGUUCAAAAUUUAACUAAAAAUGAAGAGGGCUUCGGCCACUAUUGUGGAAUUCGGCCCCAUGGUCUUAUUUUAACUAAAAAAUAAGUCCAUGUCUAAGAUUCUAAUCUUUCAUAGGUGUGAUAGCCUCCUGAAAGUCAGAAACCUCAAUCUUUGUACUCUCUGGACCGUUCACUAGCACAAAGUUUGAUUCAAACUUCUUACGAUGAGAAUGAUAUUCAGCUACAACAUUCUGGGGAGCUUGGCAAAUAAGGGACCAAUGGUCCUUUUAACCACAACGAUAGCACAUAUCUACAUCCAUGGUUUCAGAUACCUUGCCAUUAUUCUUGAAGUUUGGGGCCUUGGGAGUGAGGUUUGGGCUCUUCUGGGCUUUGUUUCCUCACUUGGAUGUGCCUUGACUCUGUUGACCUUGGUGGGAUGGUUUCUAGCCACCCCUACCGUGCCUUUUUUGACGUUUUGGGCAUUGGCUUAUGUUAUAGUGUGCUUCAGGCACAGCAGUUGCCCUAGUAGGUCAAGCUUGAUGAUUUUUCAUCAAUAACUGGUUCUACGUUUUAGCGAGAAGUAAAACAGAGAUCAAAUCUGAGAACUUAAUGAACUUCUAGGCUUUAUAUUGUUGCUGCAUGAGAAUAUUAGUAGCAGAUAAUGUCGAAUAGGUUUUCUCCAAGAGAUCCUCUUCGAUCAAAGUUUCAUUACAAAACUUAAGAAGUGAUCGGAUUCAACAAACUUUAGAAUUAUAUUCAUUCACAUACUUAAAGUCUUGGAAGCGCAAAUGCUACCAGUCAUGUCUUAGUUCAGGCAAGAAGAUGUCCUUUUGGUGAUCAAAACGACCAGCCAAAGCGACCCAUUGCUCGUGGAUCCUCCUGAGCAAGAUAUUCAAUUUGCAAAAGGUCGUGGAUAUGUCUUCGGAUAAAGAUCAUAGUGGUGGCUUUCUCAGCUUCACCAACAGGGUUGUCCGUCUCAUCUUCAAUGGCAGGACGCAAAUUCUUUGCAAUGAAGUGGAGCUUCACAUCUUGGACCCACUUAAGGUAGUUCCUUCCAGAGACCUCCAAAGCAGUGAAGUUAAGCUUAUUCAAAUUUGACAUGUUCCUAUCACAAAAUAAAGGACAAGAUGUGAUUAGUGCAAUGGAGAAAAAUAAUCAAUCCAUUUACGUAGGAGUAGAACAUUCAGGUUCUAAUAAACAUGUUUUGGUUAAUAUUCGCAUGAAAAAGCUUCGGGUUUUCAUGUGUGAUGUUUUAAGUGAAAAACUUCAGACUUUCAAACAAGGCAUUUUUAUAGAAACUUCAGGUUUUAAAAUAAUUAUGAAUUUCAAGUUCAUAUGUUCCUACAGACAAAUGCAAAUAUAUACACAGAAAUAUGCAACAAGAAAAUUUGCAAAUAGAACUUCAGGUCUAAAAUUAUAAUUGAAUUAAUUAUUUGGACUUCAGGCCAAAUUUAAAGUGUGGGUGAAAAAAUAUAAAACCCAUUAAGCCUAAAAAUAAUUAGGCAAUUAAACUCGGGGCCCAAAAGAAAGGCCUAAGCCCAUGGGUGGGCUAAGUAAUUAGGGACGUGCAGCCCAAGCCCAAAAAUUGGGCUAGGUUAGCUUGGUUGGGAUGCAGGCCCAAACAAAGGGCACAUAUCUGGUGCUAUGGGGAUACGGGACACCAAAGUCGCAUAGGCUGGUGUCAAGAAUUGGGUCGACCCAAGUUGGCAGGCCCUACAAUUUUUUUUUUGUAUGGUUGGGUAAAAGGAAAAAAAAAUUCUGGCCAAAGAUCAUACCAGGCCCAAACUGGGGUAGGGAUGGACCAAGAAGUCCUACCAGAGCUAGGAGGUGUUGCCGGAGAAAGUGACCUACACCGCCACUGUAGGUGGCCAAUUCUUGGAUUGGGGGACUCGGGGCACCCUUGUUGGGUGUUUUUAACCACAAUUACGAAUCAAGAUUGUGAAAUCUCAACAAUUCAACCAAAACCUCGGAAAUUAAAAUCAGAAUUUCAAGAAAUUCGAUGAGAUUCAAAGGAAUCUUCAACCAAGGGACACCAUGGACGAUCUUCAAGUCGUCGGGGGGGGGGGUAGCCGAGGUGGCUGGGCAUGGCUGCAGGCCAUGCAGCACGAUGGCUGAAGGGUGGCAACACUUUUUGGGUGUCGAGUUCUAGGUUUUGGGCUAGGGGCAGAAGCUCCAGUCUGGGUUCUUGGCUCGGGGGCCCAUCUACAUGGAUAGGUGAUAGAGGUCACGGGUUCGAAAGAACCAGGUUUCCUGAUUUCAAUUUUUCUAUUUUUUUUCAAUUCAAUUCAAUGCAUAAUCAAUUCAAAUAUUUGAAUGCAUGUACAUAUAUUUGGUGCAAUUUAUGGCAAAUAUCAAAUUCACGUAAUUCAACAAUUAUGAAUAUAAUGCAUAUACAAUUUAUGUAGAAUCUAAAAUUCGAAAAACGUAAAGUUGGGUCAUGCAUAAUGGUAAAUGUUCAUGUUAUCAGGGUUGCAAAAAUAUCAAGAUAAAACCGUUGUUUGGAAAAACCUGAUUGCGUGAUGAUAUGGAUGAACUGGUUUGAGGCAGAAAAAAGCUUCAACGUCAUAUUCCUAAGCACAACGGUAGGAGUGUGUUGAUAACGUGUUGUAGCCUAUUUUAUCUGACAAGGAGAAGGGGGCCGACGACAAUAGUAGAGAGAGAUGAGAGAUGUGUUUGUAGAAUCGUAGGGGAAUUGUUUAUUGAGGAUGUUUUAUCCCCCAUACGUGGUAAAAGUAGAGAAGAAAUCCUCAUCCACAAGGAAUACAAGUCAAGGAAAUAAUAAUUAUAAUCAAAUCUCAUCUAGGAUUUACACAAUCACACUUAAACUAGGAAAGUUCACAAUAAUUUUUGUGUUUUAAACUUUAAGAAGUUUAUGAGCUCGUUUGAAUGUGCUUUUAAAAUGACUGAAAGCGCUUUUAGAGAAAAAAAAAUUUGGGCUCCAAAAGCACUUAAAGUGCUUCCUGAAAGCAACACAUAACUGGUGCUUCUUGCAUAAAACACUUUAAGUGCUUUUUCAGGAUUUAUUUGCAUCUUUACUAAAGAUUGGUUCUAAAAACAUUUUCUCCAAAAACGUUUUCAGUCAUUUUAAAAGCAUAUCCAAACGAGCUCUAUUUCAAUUAGGAUUAUGGUGUAAUAGUAUUUUUCUUUGUUGAAGGGGACCAACUGUUGGCUUCGGAGCCAAUUUUUUGUUAAUUUUUUCAUAUACUGGAAAGAUUUCAGCCUCUCUUACCCACUAUCGUGUAAUGCACCAGUGUCAAGAAUUAAAUAGUAUUAUUGAGUAUACAAUCUCUAUUAAUUAAUUAAACAUUUUUUGUCAACCAAAAGAAUGUGAAAAGACUACUUAGUCUUCUAUCAUGCAAAAAAAAUGAUGGGCAAUAAUGUAAUUUCACAUGUCCAAAUUUUACUGUUUUUUAUUGAAGCAUCACCUAUAGGUGAUGUUAAAAAUACCUCCAAUAUCAAAAAACAAAAAACAAAAACAAAAAACAAAAAACCAAAAAAAACAAAAACCUAAACCUUCCACUCCCCCCACGUUCGCUCUCUCUCCCUCUCUCCUUCUCAUUUUCUAAAAAAAUAUGUUCAUACACACAAAAUAUGUAGGCAAAUAUUAGUAACAAUUUAUGGAGUUUUAUAUAUGGUUUAAGGCUGGCAAACAAACUGAAAACCCUAGAGUCCAACCAAACCGAACCAUUUAGUAUGCAAUUUUGAUUUUACAAAGGUUGGGUUAAUCGAACCAAACAAUUUAUAAUUUAGAAAAAAAUUAUAUAAAGUAACACGUAUUAUGUACAAUAUUAUCUGAUUAAAAAACAAAUAUAAUAUAUUAUAUAUAUUUUAGGAACCAAAUCAAAUUGCAAUAUUGCUGAAACAAUUACAUCGGUUUUCACCCAUUGUGAUUCGGCUGUUGAUUAAGGCAAGCUCCAGCGUGCGGUCGAUACGCUGUUCAGACCCAAAAUCAACCAACCCAAACCACACCCAACUUAGUAUAACCUAAAAAAAUCAAAUUGGUUUUAUGAUUUAGUUUCAAGCAAUAUAUAAUGAGAUGUGAUAUUCACACAUACCAUUUUACUUCUCACACACUUUUAAUUUUCAAUCUUCAGAUCGGAUGAAUUGAAAAAAAUCAAAUGACAUAAAUUAUCAAAGGAUGUGUGAGAAGUAAAAUGAGGUAUGUAGAUAGCACGUCCCUAUAUGAUAAGGCAAGAGCAACGAAAAUCAAAUAAAAUGGGUUAAAGCCCAAACUGCUUGGGACCGGAUCAAACCGGUUACUUUACGGUUCAACUAAAAGAUUUUCGUUAACAAAACUAAUGUUGUAAUUCAAGUACGAAAAAAGAAAAGUUUUUUUAAUUAAAAUGGUCUUGAGAUUGUCAUAACCCUUCAUUUUAAUCCUUGAGAUUUCAAAUCAACAGAAAUAAUUUUUAAGAUUGUCCACCAUCAAUCAUUUUUGUCUUUCUAUGAAAAAUCUCUAUUAAAUUGAAUAAACUACCAGUUCAAGAGAAAUUGUUAAUUUGACAAAAAUACCCUCAAUUUAAUAAAAUUUCUCACACAAUAACCAAAAUGAUUGAUCAUGACCCAUCUAAGGACCAUUUCUAUU
rnacentral:lncRNA from 1 species